AAUAUUAGAGUUAGUUAACCAACUUCCUUUUUAUAGUUCCAAGUUGAAGUCCACAAUUUUGUUAGCCAAUUAAAAGUAAAAGUUGGGUGGCUGUUUGUCUAAAUCAAGAAAGUAUGCUUUCAACUUUUCCUUUGAGGGAAGUAUUAUUAUUUUUUAGUAUUAUUAAAUUAUUAGUAAGUUUAAUUUUAAAACGAUAAAAAAUAUCAUCAUUUGAAAUUUUUUAUUUAUAACACUGAAAUAAAAAUAUUUAAAUAAUUUGAUGAUUAUUUUGUAAUUUUUUGAAAUUAAGUGACUAAACCAUAAACCUACCAAUAAUUUAAUGAUUUUGAAUAUAAUUUACUUUUUUUUGAAAUAACUGUUUUUUUUUUCGAAUUUGUGGCUUAAUAUCAAAGAAAUUUUAUUUUAAUAAAUAAAUUUAAAUUUAAUAUCAACUUAAAUUUCAUUUCAAAAUAACUUUUGAUAACUUAUCUUAUUAAUUAUUAUUUGGUCUUCCCCUCCUUUCUAAAAACUUCUAAAUAUGUGAACUUUUUUUUAUCUGAGAAUAUUUAAAAAUAAAUUAUCCAUUCCAAAAGUAUAGCUUUUUUUUCUAAAUAAAACUUUUUAUUAAAUUUAGUAAUGUGUAUAUUAUAUACAUGGAGUUUGUUGAAUAUAUUGAAGAUACGUGAUAGGUUGACAAAGUUAAAUAAUGGGAGCAAAAUUAGAAAAUAAAAAAUUUAUUUGGGGUUAUUGUUUUUGCAUUGUCUAUAAAGCGAUAAGGUUGAUGGGCAUAAGCAUUCCAAUUUUUAAAGCUUGGGAGGGGGGGGGGGGGUCAGUUUCAGCUUUGGAAGCUAGUGGCAAGUUGUUGCCUUCUAAUAUAUAUAUAUAUUAAAAAUAAUAAUUGUACAAAGCGUUGUUAUUUUCGUCCAUAUAAUUUUUUUUUGAUAAUUUAGACCUAAUGUUACUAAACUAUUAGUAAAUUUAUAUUUUAGUCACUUAACUUUAAAAAGUUAUAAAAUAAUCACUAAAUUAUUCGAAUGUUUUUAUUUAAUUCACUGAGUUACUUAAAAUUUUUUAUUCAACUCAAGUUUUUUUUUAAGUUAUAGCCAGUGAGCUUCAAGAGAUAAUUCGACGGUUGGUAUGAUAGACCAGAACCCAUCGACAAAUGGAAGAACAUACUUUAGAUUUGAGUUGAUUUAACAGUUAGUGUCGGAGAUUGAAAAAGAAAGUCAUUUGAAUUUUGAUUCGUAAAUUCGUGAUAUUCAAAGUUUUUGUAAAAAAAAUUAACUUUAGAAGAAAAGGGGAUGAGUGCUUUUAAUUGGUACAGGGUAGUGGAAACCGAAAAUGUCAUGCAAUAUAAUUUUAACAUCUAAGUACUGGAAUGAACACUUUCAAAUAAUUUAAUACUUAUUUUAUAACAUUUUAAAAUUUAAUGACUAAAAUAUAAAUUUACUAAUAAUUUAGUCACCUUAAUUUAUUUUACACAUAUUAUUUUUUACUUUAAUCGGUGGUUACUAAUAAUGGACACAAGUGGUGGGAGAUUUCCACCUCACCCAUACAUUAGUUUUUAUUUUUCCUAUUUUUUAAGAGUAUAUUUGGAUGGGUUAUAUGAUUAAUUUUGGUGUACUUGAAAACAACAAUAGAUUGGACAUUAAAUUAGUGAAAUAUCUAUUUGGGUUGAAAUGUAAGGGUGGUCGUAGAUGAAAAAAAAAUUAGGGACAUUCAAUUAUUUUAAUAUGAAUUAAAUUUUUUAUAAUAUUUUUUAUAAAAACUAAUUGUAAUUAAAAAUUAGUGAAUACUUGAAAAAUAAACUUGUUUGGGUCACUUAUCAUCUCGAGUAUAAAUGAUAAAAAUUCAAACCCUGUAUUAUCACGAUUAAGAAAUAAACAAUAAUUAUAAAAAUAAAAAUAAUAAAAACAUAUUUAAAUUAAUAUAAAAUUUUAAAUAAUAAUUAUAGAUGAAACUUUAUUUUUAUUUUUUUGGUGAAUGAUGAAACUUUAUUUUUAAACUACCAUAAAGAUAAAACAAUAAAAGUUUUACCACAUAGUAAAUACAAAAGAUUUUUCAAAUUAUUACUUUGUUUACUCAUCUUUUAAAUAAAAUCACCAUUCAAAAAAUUUAAAUCUUCCAACUUAAUCAUUUAUUAGUUUUAAGAUUUAUUUUUAAAUUAUAGUUUAAAAUUAUUUAAGUAAAAUUAAAAAAAAUAUUAAAUACAUGAAUACCUUAGUAAUAAAAUUUAUUAUUUAAAAAAAUGUAUUUUUAUUAUUCUUUAAUUAAAUUGAUUUUCAUUUAUCUCAUUAUAUCGAUUAAUAUAAAUAUAGAUAAUUAAAAUAAUGUCAAAUUUAUUGACCAAGGAAUAUGCAUGCAUGCAUCAAAUUUGUGCUAUUUAAUGCUAACAUUUAUGGAAUUAUAUUUUUUGUAAACAGAUAAAAUAAAAUAAAAUUUGAUGGCGUGAUAUAGGCAAUGCUUAUGCUUUUUAGGUUCAUUCGUUGUCAACGUUUUUUUCUUCUCAAUCAUCCAAUGAUUUUUUCAUGGUCCAAAAUGCAACAAGUUCAUGUAGGUAGUGGGUGCCUAGUAUCUCCCUCCAUCACACAAAAACAAAAACAAAAAAUAGAAAAAGUUAUUUUUAUUUUGGUCCAUAUACUAAUAAGUUUAUGACAUAUUUUUCAGUUACCUAUGGCAUCUUUGAUAGAUUAAGAAGAAAUGAGGUUUGUAAAUAAUUUAUUCGAUAUGAAUCAAAAGUCAGAAAUAUAUUUUAAAGAGAUUGAGAGAACAAUGAUUAAGGUACGAAUUAAAUAAUAUAAUGAUCGUCUAUAUUGAUCGUGUGUCUAAAAUAUAUUUAAGGAGAAUGUCUAUAGGCUACAUGUCCUCUAUUGAUUUGUGAAUUUUCAUCAAGUUUUAUAGUUUGAGAUUCCUUCAUUAAACCAACAAUGUGACAUGAUGAGACAUGGUUGCAAUGUAUGUGAGUAAAAUAUGAGAUAGUUUUUUUGAGCAAAGCCUAUAAGCUUUAUUACUAACAAGGUCUGUUAUCUUGUUGUGGCUUUAUCUUGUAGCAAGACGUAUUCCAUAAUUGAAAAUACUAAAUUAAGUUGAACUUAAAGCGGGAUAGGUUGAGCAUGUUUGAGUCUAAGCUUAAACUAUUUUUAAAUUAGCUUAAUUUUUUAUUCAAAUUCAUUUUUUAAUUUAAUAUUUUUAUCUAAAUUCUGUCAAAUUUAAAAUAGAUCUCUAAACUUAAGUGAGUAGUCCAAAUAGGUCUAAUUCGAGGAAUUAACACUAUAAUUAUGAUUUUUUUAAAAAAGUAGCAUGAAAAUUUCUUAUUUGUGUGACAUUGGCCCAUAUUUAUUGUCCCAUUUUGAAAAUCUGUAUUUUUUUUAUAUAAAAUUUUUACUUUUUUAUGAUUAUUUUAUUUAGUCAUCAUUGAACCGAUGAUUUAAUCGGUUCAAUACUCGCUCAAUAAAAAAGACUGUUAGCAAGCCUAGCCCAUUAUCAUAAGCCUAUUAUGAGCGUAUUUAUCCAAGCCUAUCCCGAGUGUUUUGUUGUCGAUCGAGCUUACAAAGCGCUUUGUACGCUCGAUUCUACCUAACAAAUUCUCGCCUUUGUUUUUGGCACCGCGCCAAAAUACAUCCCCCCAAAAAAGAAGUUUCACAAAUUCUCAAAAUUCCCUCCCAAAUCAUUUGUAACAAACUCCGCAGUCCGCCGCCGUUUAGUCUCCGGCUUCUCUAGAAAUUCUACGAUGGCUUUCUCCAAUGGAGCUUCGCUAAUGGAAACCGAUAACCAUAAAAAACGAGAAGGCGAAGGAGAAGACGAAGAAGAAGAUCCGUUUCUCACAUUUAUCGAGUACGCCAGGUCGGUCAUAUCUCCUGAAGAAGACGAAGAUCCGAGUGGAAAUGAAGAAGGUUAUAAUGGAGCGGGGUGGAGCUGGAUCGCGUCUCGGAUCCUCAAAACUUGUAUUUCUUACUCGAGUGGAGUCACUGCUGCUAUUUUGCUCUCCGAUCUUUCUCAGGUAAUGUACUCUCGCUGUGCGGUUUUAUCGGUUUUACUGAUUUGCUUAGUUUAGGACGUGCUAUUUCGAGAUAUUUGACUGUUUAACUUGCUUAUGAAUGUCUAGAAUGGUUUAAUAAGAGUUCGUAGUCUCAAUUAUCUUCUGUUUACUUUGAUAUUUCCAGUUAAAUUUACCAAUCUCAUUUUGAGCUAUUUCAUUGCUUAUUUUUUCUGAGAAAAUAUCUAGAAUGAUCGAUUAGAGUUCAUAGUCUCAAUUCUCUACUGUUUCUUUGAUAUAUCCGGUUGAAAUUAUCGAGCUAUUUCACUGUUUAUUUUUCUUUAAAAGAAUCUAGAAUGAUCGAUUAGAGUUCAUAGUCUCAAUUCUCUUCUGUUCACUUCGGUAUUUUUAGUUAUUUUAGUUUAUUACCGCGUUCAAGAAAAAAGAAUCGGCAUUCUCAGAAGUUCGUAUUUGCAAUCGUGGUUUAUUUUUGAUUUUUUAAAUAUAUUCUAUUAUUCUGUUUGUUUUAUUAGAUCUCUAAUCUACUGAUUGUUUCCCAGGCGUGGAGUGAGCAACGCAGGGUAGGCGGUUCAAAGAAAAGGCCAGAGAUUAUAGAUCAGAUGAAAAGGAAACAUAGGAGAGCAAAGCUUCCUAACACAGUUACAAUCGACUCAAUAUACGAGAAGAAUUUCUUGUCCUUGAGUAGUGUUUUGGAAGCUGUGGUUGUGGAUGCUCAUGUUCUUCCGGGUUGCUAUACAGAUUGAGCUCUAUGUUGAUGAUUCUGAUGGGUAAUUAUGCCUUUGUGUCGUUGUUUCGUUGCUAAAUUUGUAUCUUUUUGUUUUAGGUACGAACAUUUACAUGCUUACUUUGGGGGAUUAUUGGAGUUCCAAUACCAUUGAUCUUUAUCUUCACCGAAGGUAAUCAAACUACUCGUUUGGACAUAUGCAUUCUUACCCAUGUAUGUAUGUAUGUAUGUUUCUCCAACCCUUCAUUUUUCUUGAAGUAGCCCUUGACACCCUUGUCUGCUGGAUACUUGAAUACGUGUAUAAGGAUAUGACUAAGGUCCCUUAAAAUACAUAGAAAAAUUCAACAUAUCCUUUUUGUAACAUACUCGUUUCCAACUCUUUCAAUUGAGUCUGUGUGACAUUGCUAAGUACAGCUUUUUUCUACUGCAAAAUGGAAGUGAUAAACCAUUCUAGAAUGAUGGAAAGGAUAAAGCUGUUGUCUCUGUAUUCCACCAAUAAGCUUGUGAUGUUAUUUCUUUGUAGAUACUAUGACUUGGUUGAUCCUCCGAAUGGGAUUUUGAAGAAAGCGAGGGAGAUUUUCCUUACAGGUUGCUAUCUUCGAACUGCCAAAGAAGGAUGUGGUAGCCCGCGGUUGUUGCCAACAGAAUAUCUUGUGAUAUUAUUGGAUGAGGUAACUUGCUAUGUAUAAUCAAUUACUUUCAAUGAAAAUGUAAGGUCAAAGCAUGCCGAAAUUCUCAAUAAUACCUGAUAUUAAAUACGUUUCCUUGCUUUCAACAUUUCUUUUUCUCCACUUACAGGAAUAUAACAAGUUCUCUUUUGUUUUUUUUGCAGGAUCUGGAUGACGAUGCAAUCUUGAUAGGAGCCCAGUUUUGCUCAGAUUCUUUCUCUUCCAUUUCUCAUGCUGGAGUCAAGAAUGGUGUUUCAUAUUCGCUGUAUGCUAGGUUGGAUAUAUAAUUUCUAUUCUUCUUUGUUUGGUUUUGGCAGUAUCCUAAGUUUAGUGCUGUAAUAGGUUUGACUUAAUUCCUAUCUGUUUUGGGAUUUUCUUUCCUUUUUUUUUCGCCAAAGCAAUCUCUAAAAAAUGAAGUAUGAUUGCAUCAUGCUAAUCGCUCUAAUAUUUCAUCCACGGAUUUUAAAUUAUAGCAAUUGUUUCUGUGAGAUAUUCAUUUAUUUUUCUUCUUCUUUUGUAGGAUUGAAUCUAUCACUUCACUGGAAAUUCUGGAACAAUGUGGAGGUUUGCAGAGGAAGCAAAUCACUCUUGUUGACAAUGAUGGAGUAAAACUAAGAUUUCUCUUGUGGAAUGAGCAGGUAAUCCUAGCCAAUCUUUUCAGGUAAUUCUUGCAUUGGAAACUACAUUUGUGUUUCUUCUCUCUCUUGUUUUGGCAUUUAAGGUAUGAGAGUCUGACACAAUCCCUUGCAGUGUUGGAAGCAUGCUCGCCCUGGAUAGGCCAUAUAUUGCUAUUGCAGCAGAGAGUGCCCUUGAAACAAGUGAGUUGUUUUGUCUAGAGUAUGGAACUGCAACACAAUUAUACUUGGUGCCUUUUGUUCAACAUGAGGAACAAGUGAGUUAAAAUUUAUCAAGUGAAUGGUUUCAUUGCCAUUUGAAAUAUACAGUUAGUUUAUAUUUACCUCAGGUAUGCCUAUCAUCCACACAAAAUCGAACUCAAGGAUCAAAGUUGCAUGCUGCAGCUGAUCCUACACAAGGUCCCAAAGUUUCUCAAGUGAGCUUGCCCUGUGAUUCCCAAGGGUCAAUUGACUUCAGUAAUUAUCCUUUUCAGGUAAGUUCAUUUAUAAUCCUGCAUUUCAUUCUACUUGUAUUUCAAAAACCUCAAAAGGUUGUCUUUUUACGCUCAAAAAUUGGUAUAAGGUCAUUUGAAUUCCUUUUGUUGCAGCUUAAUUUUGCAGUUAAUUACACUAAUACUAUUUCUCCAAAAUUUUCUAAGUUCUGCAGUUAUUUGUAGCUGAUCUCCAUGGCAAGAUGACCGGUAUCAGCCUUUAUGGCGUGGUUAGAGAUGUUUUUCGAGAAAGAGAAACUGCAGGAGUUAUUUUUUUAUUGAAACUCGAGGAUUCGACUGGAUCAAUUUGGGCAAAGCUACAUUUUUCUCAAUCUUGGUACCGUAAGUUAACUUUAACUUUAUGGAUUAUAGCACUCAUUAUAUUCUCUGCUUUUUUUGGCUUGAUAAUCAUGAUACACUUCUCAGGUCAUUAGGACGAGUAAGUGUUGGUCACACAGCAUAUAUUUCUGGCUUGACGUGCUCUAAGACAAAACAAGAUCGGUAAGCAUUGAUUUAAGUUUUAUCAAUACACCUUAAUAAUGUCUAUUCAGUUAAGUGGUAGCUUGAACCUUGUACAUUUAUGGUUCUCAUUUUCGUGGUCUGAAGUUCAUGGUGAGUUUUCCACUUGCAUAAGGUUUUAAAAGCACUUUGUGAACAUCUGAUGACGUGGGUGCUUGUUUUGCUUAACAGCUUUGAACUAUCAUGGUGUGAGACAGAUGAUGGAGCUUCUUUUAUCAACCUCAGUUGCUUACCAGCAUUAGUAAACUCAUCUUGUCUUCACAAGUUAUCACGCCUUUCUGACCUCUCCCGCAGGAGGAACCCAAUGCAUGUAUGGAUCAAAUGCUUUCUAAACAGUAAUCUAUGAAUACCAUUUCAACUCUCUAAUGCUUUCUAACAGUUCCCUACCAAUGUUGUUCCGACUUUUCAUUUUUUUUUAAGUAUCCAUAUUUGAAGCAUGUGUGGUAUGUGUAUGAGAUGUGACUCUUAAAGUACCCCCAAAUAUAUGAUCUUUUUUAAAAUGUUGAAUACACUCAUAUGGAACACAUACCUAUAUCCAACACUGACACUUGAGUCCGAGUAUCACAGCCAAGUUUAUCCAAGUAACUUUUUCUUUGAAAAAAUGGAAAUGAUCAAUUUCAAUCAUUAGCACCUCGCAGGCAGGCAUGUUUUAAUUUUCAAAACCUAAUUUUCCAUGUGCUAACCCUUUUUCUUUUCCUGUCUCCAACAUAUGUUCAGAUAUGUCGAGUUUGGAUUGACCAAGUUGAUCAUUGUCAUGUUACUACAAGAUUCUCACAUGCUCCUUGUGGGCAUUUUGUCAAAGAGAUGCCAAGCGGAGCAGUUCAAUGCAGUUUCUGUCACUGUGAUUGUGAUAGUGAAGUUGUCAUGCGUGCUUUCUACCUGAAACUCACCCUUGCCGACAAGAACACUAAAAUUUUUGCUUGGUGUACUGGUCAAACUGCUAUGGAGUUACUGCAAAUAUCACCCGAUGAAUUCUACGAGCUGUCUGAGGUAAGCAGUUACUAGUUUUGGGGAUAUAAUCAUGAUUAGCAUCAAACUGCUAAAAUUUUCAAGUUCAUUUAAUAAUAUUAAGGAAUAGGUAAGGGCUAUGCAGAAGUCAGUUAUAACUGGCUUACCUGACUGAUUGUUGUUGGUCCGUUAAAUUAGGGCAGUUAGAUUGAUUAUAAUCCAAGUCUGUUGGCUAAGUAGGUCCGGUUUGAAGUUUGUGUAAUGACUAAUGAAUUGAUUGACUUUAAACCCUAACCAAUUAUCCAUACUACUCAACUCGAUUAAUUGAAAUAACCAAGAUACAUGAUUGAACCGACUGAAUUAAGUUGACUCGGUUAUUUUUUGGUUAUGAAGCUAAGCUUGAUUGGUUUCGAUUAAUUUCCAUUUGAUGGUUGGUUCUGUCGAUUUUCAAUUUAUUUUAGUCGAAUUGACCAAACUGUGUUAUUGUGAAUGAAGUCCAUUUGUUAAAAUGAUGAACUUAUGUUGGUUUUACUUUCGAAGACAUAAAUGUGAUAAACGAUGAACGUACGGUUUUCAAUAUUCAGUGCAUUUACCAUCUUAAAUUUGCAAUUUUAUUCAUAGGUAUCCAAAUACUGUGUUAUUGUGAAUGAAGUCCAUUUGUUAAAAUGAUGAACUUAUGUUGGUUUUACUUUCGAAGACAUAAAUGUGAUAAACGAUGAACGUACGGUUUUCAAUAUUCAGUGCAUUUACCAUCUUAAAUUUGCAAUUUUGAUGGAUCCUACAAAUUCCAGGACGAGCAAGUUAUGUAUCCUUCUUCACUGGAGAAUGAGAGGUUCAUUGUUGCAUUAGUGAAUUGCAAGCGGCAGGCAGUGCACGGAUCUCGCGACAGUCAAACCCCGGAGGCUGAUGCAGUUUCAUGGGAGAUCACCCGGGCACUCAAGUGUGAAUAGAGUUUUAAUAUUGGAAGCUCAGGUUCUCCUUUUAUACUGCUACAUGGCUUUGAUCAAUAUGCGCAGUAAUAUAUAAAUAUAUAUUAAAUGUAUGUGUGUGUGCAAUUUCAUGGUAACUUGAAUUUGGGAAUUACAUUUUGGAAGUCUUAUUCUCUCCAUCAGUAUCUAUUUUACUAAAAUGUUGUAAUGCAUUUAUCUACGUUAAUUCGAUUUUGGUUUCUAUAAUGUAAUCAAUAUAUGUAUAUCGUGAUAAGGGUAUGGGUAUAUUUCUAUAAUUAUCUUCUAAAUAUAUAGGAAAACUUAGAAAAAAAAUCAACUUACCCUUGUUUGACAAUUAUAUCCUACACAUUCGAGUCCAAGUAGUAUAGGUAUUAAACUAGUCAAUUCAGGUUUUUAAAUUGGGUCAAUUUUGAUUGAAUUUUAUGUUAUGGUGAUCCAAUUUUUUUUAAUAAUUAUUUGAAUUUUUUAGAUUUGGUCAUCUUAAGUUAUUUUUUCAAUUUAUUUCAGGUUUAUUUUCUUUUGAGAUUCAGUAAUUUUAGAUUUAAUUUUCAAUCAUUUCUAAUUUAAGUAUUUUUUAUGAUUAAGUCAAGAUUUUUAGAUAAAAUUUUAAAGUUUGGGUUAGAAUUGACUAAUCUAGUCAUUUAUAAUCUUCAUUAGCAAUAUUGAUUUAACAUUACAGGAAGAUCAGGAAGGGGUAGAUAACUUGCCCUUGUAGAAACCAAAGCCAACAGCAGGUCAUGACGCUUUACUCUUAGAGAAUAAUUUUAUUUUACAAAAAGUAAAAUAAACCAAGUGCAGACAAUGUCUACUUUAUUCUAAUGCUAAACAAUUGAGCUAGUAAAUAGUACUUUUUUCCCCUUUUGGCAAUAAAGCUAAUAAAUAGUACUAGCAUAUAGUAAUUUUGUUUUUAAUUUGAGUUUAAGUUUGAUCAAUUUUAAUAAAUUUGCCCUUCUCUUAUUUUUAAUUCGUGAUCUCUUUUACGCAAUAUAUAUAUAAUUGCUUACUUUUACUCUCUCUUUUUUGCAUUAAUGAUCAUGUAUGUUCCUUCUAAUUUAGGAAAAAGAUUUGAAUAUAUCAUGUUGGACACAUGAAUAUAGUACUUGUGCUUUAUUGGCUUCUACUUCUGUAAAGCUAGGACAUACAUACUGGUAUAAUGCUAUUCAUAUAUGUUAUUCAGAGGACAUUGCAACAACCCGUUUACGCACUUAAAAAAUUCUUUAAUUUUUCCUUAAGCAAUCAGUUUAGCUUUUUUUUGGCAGUAAUAGCUUUUUACUUGCAACAAAGCUGUAACAAGGAAGACUACUUAUGCUUUGUGCAGGAGUUUCUAUGAUGGGCUGGAAAUGCCUUUUCAGAGUGCAUUACUUAAAAAAAAUCAUGUAUUGAAUAGAUUCUCUUACUUUCUUUCAUUUAUUUUUCUUGGUAUAACGAAGCCUUCCUUGAAAAUACAAACAGUUUUGGCUGGAUAGUAAAGCUAUCAUGAAACUUUAAUAUUUCAGAUUCAAGUGGUAUCUUAAAUAAAUGUAUGAGUUUUCUGAUUACAGUUAGUUAUAUGUAACGAUUGAUUAUUGAUUUGAAUUCUAUUAGGUUUAAUAUAUAAUUUGACAUUAUUUAAAUGUAGUAUCUGUAUUAUUUUUUUGUUUAAUAUGAUAUUUAUUUUUGACAAAAAUUAUAUAUUUUGAUAUUCAAAGGUAACAACAUCAAAUUUUUAAUGUUUAAUUCGAAUUUUAGGGUUGAUUUGAUGAAAGUUAAUUGUUAAUAUUAUUAGGUUUGAAUUUUUUAUGUUUUUAUUAAUAAAAUAAAUUUAGUGUUAAUUGUAAAUUUGUUUAAUUUUACGUCAAAUACAAUCUGAUAGUAUGAUUUAAUUUGAGUUUUAUGAUUGAUUUAAUGAAAGAUAUGAAUUCUCAUUAAAUUAAUUCUAAAAUCCGAAUUAAAUAUUAAAAAAUUAGCAUAUUUUUAUGUAUCAAAAUAUAUAACUUUUGUCAACUACAAAUAUCAAAUUGAAUAAAAAAAUAACAUAAAUAUUGUAUUAGAAAAAAUUAUCAAACUUAGGCACCAAAAUAUGCAUUAAACUCAACUGAAUUAAACCCGAGUUUGAUUCUUAGUUUCUUUUUUAUAUUUAGCACUGCAUAUAUAUACACAUAUAUGAUAAUAUUUCUAAUUUUGCUCUUUACCAAUCUUCCCAAGUCAUCUUGGAUUCCUUCAAGUUUAAAGAUAUAUAUAGCUGCUUACCCUCCUAUCACCAUCAAAAUCUGACUCAAGUGAUCAUAAAUUAAGAUGGCAAGGGUUCAAUUGGCUGUUUGCUAUUAGGUUAAGCUAAUUCCCCAGUGCUAGGGAGGGAGCUGUUUUAUAGUGUAUUCAGUAUUCUUUUGCUAAAUUUAUUGGCUCCACAAACAGGUAUACUACGCUCAUAUAUACCCGUACAUAUGAAAAACACUCUUAGUGGCUAUUUUUGUUUAAAAAUUUUCAAAUUGGGUAUUCUUUGUAAUAUAUAUAUAUGUAUAGCUUUCAAAUUCUUCUGUAAAACUUGUACACAAUGCAUUAAGGUUAUAUGGGUGAUGCACCCUAGAGAUAAAUGAUACACUUAUGCUUGAAACCUAUUUGGAUUUGGUUUGAAAAACUCAAAUUUGCUUGAUUGCUGUGUAGCUUGAACUUAUUAAGAGGGUUGAAUUCCAAGUUUAUUACUUGAUUGAGUAGCUUGCAAGCAUAUAAACGAUCUAGUUUGAAGUUGAGUGUGGGAAUCAAGUUCAUUUUUAUUAGAUAAAUGAGUUUAAUUGAGUAAUUUCGGUUUUUAGUUUCAACCGAGCUAGAACUUUGGAAAUGAAUUUAAAAGAAGAAAUUCAUGGGAAAAAUUAUUCUAAACCCAGCUCCUUUAAUGAUGAUGAUCAUGCCAUUGCAGGUUGUAAUGAAAAACCUUUAUUUGCUUGUUUAAAGCUUGUUGUUUCAGUUACAGAUGGCUACAUCAAUGUCGGAACCUACAGAUGUCCUACAACAUGUCGCCAUCGAAAUCCCGAAAGGGUCUUAUGAUUCUCUUGUAAUUCCCCUCAAAGAAAAAAUGGAAACCAUGACGACUGCGAGCUGCAUUUUCAAAGUCAAUGAGAAACUGCGAGAGAUCGAUGAAAAACAUUAUCUCCCUCAAACUGUCUCCAUUGGUCUUUUCCAUCACGGUCGGGACAAUACGAAAUUCAUGGAAGAACAUAAAUGGCGGUAUCUGUAUUCGCUCCUGAAUCGGAAAUUUCACCUUGAAGCUACAUUGGACAAGUGUGUAAAGUCUUUAAGAGAGUUGGAGCAUAAGGCAAGGCUGUGCUACAAAGAUCUCAAACAGGAUGAGGUUCCCAGUGACAAAUUUGUUGAGAUCAUGUUAGCUGAUGCCGGUUUCUUAAUUGAACUCUUCCUCAAGUACGCGAUAAAGGGUCUAAAACGUCGCGGCGAUUACGUGUUCAACAUGUCUGGGUUGUUGUACGAGUUGAGGUGCGACAUGUUACUGCUGGAAAAUCAGAUCCCUUAUUUCAUCCUUCAACGGCUGUUUGAAAUCGUCCCGAUUCCAAACCAUUGCAAACUGUCCCUCACCGAACUCGCAUUCCGGUUCUUCAGAGACAUGAUCCCAGGAGAUCACAGACUUCAUUUGGCGAAAUUCGGACAAGAAGGUAAUCAUUUUCUCGACUUAAUCCGCCAUUGUUUCCUCCCAACGGUUCCGAGAAUCAAAGCAAAACAACAAGAAGUUAGAGGUUUGCCUUAUAAGGCAAGUAAGCUCAAAGAUGCUGGAAUUAAACUCAAGAAGGCAACAACAGAGGAUUUACUAGAUAUAAAAUUCGUCAAAGGAGUACUCGAAAUUCCGCCUAUCAAUGUCCAUCAAUACACCGAAACCCUACUCCGAAACCUCAUCGCCAUUGAACAAUCCGGUCCCGGGACCACUAAUCACAUCUCAUCCUACGUAUUUCUGAUGAAAACCCUUCUCCCCGAAAACAAAGAUGUGAAACUAGUGAAAAGAAAGCAAAUUCUUACAAACUAUGAUGUGAGUGAUAAGAAACAGGUCGAGACAUUGUUUCAUCGUCUUUGUGAAGAGAUGAAAGUAAUGGAGAAUGCCGAUGACGAGUUCUAUUACAAUGGGCUUUGCGAGCAAGUGAAAGAGUAUAAAAGGAGCAGUUGGCAGCCUCGCUUGAAGACGAUGCCGCCACCGUUGAAACCUGGUUAUCUUCAACGGCCCUUGCCUCGUAUCGUGAUCGUCCUUCUUGUUUUGUUCAUUGUCCUUGUCUUUGUUGGUGCUUUGUUCUCUAUAAUCUCGUUUUUUAGACACAAAUUGUAGGACAAGAAUUGGAGCAUGAGUGUUUGGUUUGGUUUGGUUUUGUUUUGAAUCGAUAAAAACAUUGCACUAAUUUUCAAUUCCAUUUGAAAUCAGAAAGGUUAUUUUUAUUUUGUUUGUAAGAUACUUUAACACGGUUCAUAUAAUCAUCGACUCAAUAUUUUCUGUCAAAAUUUGCAUUAUCAACUCUUUUUACAAUGUUCCUAAUGAUUUGCUUCUAAAAUUGAUAAAAAGGAGAGAGUAGAUUAGUUCGGUUAUAAAAUUUAAAAAUUGAUUUAUCCGAUCAACCUCAUACUUGGUCUUAAUUGAUCUAACCAAACUUAACACCAAUCACUUAAGUUGGUUAAGUUUAUUAAAUCGAAUUUUUAUUAUAUAAUAAAAUAUACUUAAAAAGUUUCUAAAAAUAUAUAUUCCUAGAAGUCAAUUAAGUUAGCCAUUUUGUUUCAAUGAUCGAUAGGGUAGAAUAGUAGCCAUUCACAAAUAGAACAUAUCUUAGAUUCAGGAACUAUGAUAGCUGAUGUAAAAAAUUAGAGGAAAAAAUUAUUUGAAUUUUAGUUUGUAAAUUUAUUAUUUUCAAAACUGUUCCAUGAAAAUAUUAACCAUCAAGAAAAGGGAAAGAAAAGAUUUGGAUACCAUGAAUAGAAAAGUCAUAUAUGGAUAAUUUAACCCAAUAACUUCAAUAAAAAAUUUUGAAAUUCAUUCAUCGACACGUAAGCUAAUAAUUUAGUCACCUUAUGAAAAUUCAUAAUUGAUCAUUGACAACCCAAUUUAACCGCUUCAAAAACUAAAUUUGAUUGAAGGGCUUAACAUUUGCUUCCCUUAAGUAUUGAUUACAUGAGUUUAUUGAUGACAAAUUUGACUGAAAAUACCAACAAUACCAAUAAUUGAUUUAGAGUUUUUUAAACGAAAAAAAAAAAACAAAUAAAUUUAACAUUUAUUAUAUACUUUUUUUAUAAUAUUGCAUUUUAAAACCAAAUUUAUAAUUGUAUUGGUCAUGCUUACAUAAGAUAAUUGAUUGAUUAAACACACCAUUAAUUACAAAAAGCUGAAUAUUAUACUUUCAAAUUAAUCCCAUGCUAAGAUUUAAACAAAUAUACUGAUAGAUUUCUUUCUUCCUUAUUGAGCUGAUGUUGCUAGAACUAUGAACCAUCCAUGAAAACAGCACCAUGUCCACUAGAUUUGAUGUAUUUCUUGAACAAAAGAACCAAAAUAGCAAUGGUAAGUCCGACGGCAGCCCACGUAAAUAAGCGGUCAUCAACAACGGAUCGUUGAACCCUUAUCUCCGGCCUUCGUAGUUGUUGGUUACUUGGUCCCUCACCAGGGAUCUCUCUCACUAGCCUCAUGGCAACAGGAUAUGGAUAAGCAUUGGCGGGAGCCACAGGUGGUUCUUCGACAACCCUUUCAUUUAAUGUUGGAUUAGGGAUUCCGGGAUUCCCGGCACCCACAGUAACAGAAUCUUGCUGAUUGGCCUCUGCCUCGGCUUCAGUUUUGGCUUCGGUAGGGUGUUCUUCUGAGGAUUUUGAAGGACUAUGUUGAGGAACACUGGGAGUCUUGCUUAACAUAUAUUCAUGUAUCUGUGCCAUGAAAAAAAAGGCUUCAUUAGUAAAGAGCCAAAAUCAAAGAAUGUAAUCGGAAGUCGAAGCAGAAACAUACCUCAUCGAUAAGUUUCUGACGUUCUGGAUUCCCGUAUUUAGGUGGUGAUUCACGAGAUUUGACAGCAAGGGUACGCCGCUCUUCCUUAGUAUAAUCUAGAGAACCUAAGGCACCGUUUGGGCUGGUAGGCAUGAAUGCAAUCAAUGCCACUAGAGCAGUCCGCACUAUCAACACCAACAACCAAAUUAGCCCAACUUUUAUCCGUGUAUUCCGACACUUACCCGUAUCCAAAAAACACACAUCCAAUACACAGAAACAAAGCUUCAUCAAACUGUAACAAAUGUUAACAUAUCAAAAAACUAAAGCAGUCCUAACUAUCAACACCAACAACCAAAUUAGCCCAACUUCUAUCAGACACUUACCCGUAUCCAAACACACACACCCAAUACAAAGUAACAUAGCUUCAUCAAACAGUAACAAAUGCUAACAUAUCAAUUCACUAGUGCCACUAUCAUUGAUUUUGAGUAGCUUCAUCAAACAGCAGUGGAAUAAACAUUACAACAUAAGAAAAAGUUGUUCGUUUUCUGGGUUCGGGACAACAAUUUAUAUCAAAAUUCGCAUUGUGUUUGCCUUGAAAAAGAGAUAUGGUACUCACCACUCCAAGAUGGUUGCCAAUGCUCCGGGUGGUGAUUCGAUAUACUCAAGCAAAUCUUAGUCUGCGUUUCAAAACGUCCAUUUGGCUGAAAAUUUGAGCAGAAUACAUCAAAUUAGAUAAUUUACCAAAACUGGAACCUAUAUACAUGUAUAUAUGUAUAUGUAAAGGAAGCCCUUACGGUGAGCAACAUAAAUGAAGGGGGCUUAAAUGGAUACUCAGCAGGCAAUUGAAUCCUUCCAUGAUAAAUCCCUCCUUCAAAUUCAGAAUCCCUUGGACCCCUAAUUGCAAAUUGCCAUUCAAAUAUAUUCUCCUGCAAAAGAAAAAAAAAACCAAAAAUUUAUCAUCACAAUUCUCAAUAAUCUCUUAAACCAACAAACAAUUUGUUUCUUAAUUUCACCCCAAAUCAAACAUUUUCCUAAGAUAUUCAAUUUAGUCCCUGUUCCAUCCAAAAACCCUAUUCAUCAAACUCAGAAAUUAAAAGAAAAACCCUAAAAUUUUGAGAUUAGGUAGGCUUACGAUCGCAUCUCCUUAAUGUAAAAUCCUCAAUAAAUCUCUUGAAUAAAAAUUUUCCCUAAAAUAUUCAUUUUAGUCCCCUGUUCCAUCGACAAACCCGAAUUAUAAAAGCAGUGAAAAUUAUUUAAACCCCCCCCCCCUAAAUUUUAGAGAAAUUUACCUCGAGUGGUAGGCUCAUGAAAUCAUCGGAAGGAUUGGAUUGCAAUUCCUUAACCUCUUGUAAGAUCCUCUUCACCGCCGGAUUCUUGAGGUUAUACUUGUCUUCAGCCAUUAGAUCGCCGAUCUGAAUUCCGAUUGUACAACCGCCACCAGCGCCGCCGCUAUCACCUCCGUAUAUAAAUACGUAUAAUUUUGUUUCGAGUGUCUCUCUAUAGAAAGGGAUAAGAAUUUGAGAAAAAGAAGGAGAAGAAGUGCUUCGGACUUUGGGAAUUUAAUGGUUGACUUGACUUAACACGUCAUUGGCUACAGAUUUCACCGUGUGGCGUAGUUUUAUUGGAUGAGUGGCAAUAGUUAGUUUUGUUGCACUUUUUUUUCUUUUUUCUUUUUGAUCAAGUUUUGUUGCACUCUUAGUUCGGUUAGAUCAAGUUCUUUUGUACCGUGGGAUACUCGCGUGAUACUCCUUUUUUAGGGUAAAUUGCACUGAUAGUCACCCAACUAUUGUUAACUUUCUUUUCUGGUCCCCAACUAUUCUAUUUUUUCUUUUUCAGUCAUUGGCAGCUAAAUGGUUAACAGAAAUAUAAUCCAACAUCUUUUAAAAUUAGAAUAAUAAUAACUUUAACCCUUAAAAUUUUUACAUUAUGUCAAUUUAAUUUUGAUUCUAUAAAAAUUAACCUUCAAUGAUCUUUUUUGCAGUUUUCUUUUCUUUGUCACCCUUUCACUACAAACUUAAAAAACAAAUUUAUCAACUAAAUUUGAUUGACAAUAUAUAAAAAAUGAAAACACCCCAAAAUUUAAUAUAAUAAUUUUCAUCUUUUCUCAUUCUUUUAAAAUUAAUCCUCAAUGUCACAAAUAAAAGUAAAACUGCAAAAAAGCCAAAUUAAUGUUGAGGGUUAAAUUUGUUAUUAUACCAUUUUUAAAAGUUGCCACGUUAGUCAUUUAAUUGCUGACUUGGCCAACAUCAUAGUUGAUGAGAAAUUGAAUUUUCUCCAAUAAUACUGAGAAAAAUGGCAAUGGAAACAAAUUGAAAAGACAAAAUAAUGUAAAUUUACAUUGCUGUUAGUCUCAAAGCUCACUAAUGAUUUUGAGUCUUUUUCUUGCAGGCUGCAUUGUAAUAUGUCCUUCUCAUGUGUUAAUCAAGGUUUAAUUUAAUGUCUAUUUACUAUAUGUUCUUUUAUUUUUGUCAUUCUCAAAAUGCUUUAUAUCUAAACUUUUGUGUCUUGUUUUGUUUAUCUUAUUUGAUUAAAUUCCUCAACAAUGAUAUCAAAAAUUGUUUGCUUUAUGAAUUUAAUCUAAUAUCAGUGUAUAUAGUUAUUCAAAUUGCUGAAAUUUUUGUUAAGAACAUAUGAUUUGAUCUGUACCAUGUCGAAUGAUGUUUUGUUGUCUUUCGUUGGUGGGUUCCCUGACAAGCGAAGUGUUUGUAAUAAUGUUUGUGAGAGUUUUUAUGGAGCAGCCAUUGAUGGAUGCUAUGGAUUGCUAAACAACUAUGGCAAUGAAUUCGAACGACUGCAUACGGGAAGGAAAACUGAGGAAGUGGAUGACGUAACCGUGUUAAAAAAUGGGGUUGAGGGGAACUUGUCGACCGAAGAUGUCAUGAGAGUUGCAGGUAAGAUGUUUAUCCAUUCAUCGAGGCGAAGUAUUGAUCUUUCGUUUUCAGGACUUACCCUUAAGGAAACGCAGGAUGUUGAGCUUGCUUUGCUACUCCUAGCUGCUGCGGAGAAAGUAGGGUAUCGAGAAUUCGAGUGGACGAGCAUGUUGGUGAAAGAAUGCGAGUUCAUAUCGUCGAGGAUUGGGAAUCUGGUUCAACAAGUAGUUUAUUAUUUCUCCAAAGCUCUUUGAGAGAAGAUCGAGAUAGAUACGGGAAAGGGUUCGGGAAGUAAAUCGGUGUUUAACUUCGAUGAAUUGAUGAUGAGGCCUAAUCCAGCUAUAUUAGCAUGCCAUGGAGAAUUAUACCAUUUGUAGGGAUUCAAGCCAUUGUGGAACAUGUUUCAAAGGCAAAAAAGGUUCACAUAAUUGAUCUUGGAAUCAAAACUGGGGUGCAAUGGACGGUUCUAAUGCAAGCUCUCGUGUCUCGGUACGAGUGUCCGAUUGAGAUUCUUAAAGUAACCACGGUUGCAACUAACGGGAAACGGUUAAUCGAGGGUACCGGUAAGUGGCUAUUAAGCUUUGCUCAAAGUUUGGGAUUACCCUUUUCUUUUAAGGUGGUUGUGGUCUCAGACAUGUUGGAUCUCAAAGAAAAUCUCUUCGAAGUCGAUGUUGGAGAAACGGUUGCUGUCUAUGCCGCAACAACUCUUAGGAGCAUGCUUGUAAUGCCGAACCGGUUUCGAACAUAUAAUGAGAGUGAUUAAACUUAUUAACCCUUGUUUGAUGGUGGUACCUGAAAUCGAGGCCAAUCAAAACUCCCCGAUGUUUGCGAACCGUUUCGUUGAAGCUCUUUUCUUCUUCAGUGUGUACUUUGAUUGCCUUGUGACAUGCAUGAAUCGGAACUGCGUAAACAGAGAGAUUGUAGAAUCGGUGUACUUUGCAGAGGGGAUUAGGAACAUGGUAGCUGCUGAAGGCGAGGAAAGGAGGGUCCGGCACUUGAAGUUCGAUGUUUGGAGGGCGUUUUUUGUUCGGUAUGGAAUGGAGGAGGUGGAAUUAAGUAUGUCAUCUUUGUACCAAGCAUGUCUUGUUCUAAAAACUUUUGCGUGCGGAAGAUUUUGCACACUCGAUAUGAAUGGGAAAUGCUUGCUCGUCAGAUGGAAGGGAACUCCGGUGCAUUCGAUUUCGGUAUGGAAGUUUCUUUAAACUCUGGAUUUAAUGUCUUAAACAUUACCAUUCCUUGGUGUUUUCAUUUAACUGUUCAACAGUGAAAGUGUUAUCAAAAUUCAUCAGCUGCAAGUCUUAUCAAAAUUGCAAGAUCAAGCUUCAACAAGAUUUCAUCCAUGCAUGGAAUCCUUUGAUGAUUAUCUCUCGGAGCUCAACGAGUCCUUCAACGGCAGAUGCUAUAAUCUUUCGGGUGACAAGAUCAAAGACGUAAGCUCAUGAUCCUUUUAUAGCUUCAGCUAAAAAGGUUAAUGCCUGGCAACCGGAUCAUGCGAGAAAGUUCCACAACCUAUGCAAGUUCGUAUCUUCCGAUGCUGGCACCGCGAUCCAAUGAAUCAUCUAUUAUUUCAGUAAAGGUCUCCGGGAGAAAAUCAGCGGGGUAACCGAUGGUAAUAAACCAUCACACCACCCUGAUGAAACAGUUGUGAAUAUCUAUUUUAAGUUAUCAUUCAUUCAUGAAACACAGUUUACCGGUUUACAAGCGAUCAUUGAAAGCAUUUCGUGCUCGAAAAAAGUCCAUCGACUUGGCCAUCCGAAGCAGAGCACAAGGCAUAUCCUUGAUGCAAGCACUAGCAACACGCGAAAAUCCCCCAAUCGAGCGUCUCAAAAUAACAGCCAUCGGCACAACAUUACGGACCAAGAUGGAACAAACAGGUAAAAGGCUGUCAUGUUUUGCACAAGCUUUAAACAUACCCUUUUCUUUCAACACCAUAAUGGUAACACACCUUAAAGACAUAAACCAAGACAUGUUCGACAUAACCGAAGACGAAACCGUCGUUAUAAGCUCCCGUUUCUUGCUCUAACACAGUAACACCAACCAUGCAGCUUGGAAUCCAUACUCAAAGUGUUCAAGGACUUGAAUCCAUGCAUGUGUGAAUCGAUUCGAUUAUAAAUUUAUAACCGGAAUUAAAUUACUUUGAUAACCUAAAUAACCAAAAAAAUUUCAAAUUUCAAAUUAAUUUGACGAUUCAAAUUAAUCUAUGUCGAGCAAUUGAAAAAAAUCUACCAAUUCAAAAUGCUUACACGUGUGUUCCAGAGUUGACACGUACGAAAAACCUUUGAUUUUGCAUGUGUGACGGGGGAAACCAAGGGAAAAAGCCGGCCUUUAAAACACAGUUCAAGAAGCAGCAAUUUUGUAGAAAUUGGUUACACAGUGGCAUACAAAUGCAGGCAAAGAUCACCGUGACGGAGACAUGGCUGAGGAAGCACCGCCACUUGUACGACGGAGCCACCAGACAUCCUUUUAUCCGCAGCAUUCGAGAUGGGAACAUCGAUAUCUCCGCCUUCAAAACAUGGCUGGUUCUUGUUUUCUGAUCCUAAAUUUCUUGCUAUUUUAUGCUUAAAUUGCUUGUAGCUCCAGAAAUAUUUUGGGUUUUUUUAUAUGAAAACUUGAUUGUUUUGGAUUCAUAUAAUUUCAGGGGCAGGAUUACAUAUUUGUUAGAGCUUUUGUGCCGUUUGUAGCAAGUGUUUUGACUAAAGCUUAUAAAGGAUCAGAUGAUGGUAACGGUGAUGUAGAAGUGAUAUUAGGAGGUGUAGCUGCUUUACAUGAUGAGAUUUCCUGGUUUAAGAAAGAAGCUUUUAAGUGGGGUGUUCAGCUCUCAAGUAUUGUUCCUCAGAAAGCAAAUCAAGAAUACUGCCGGUAAUUUCAUGUGUGUGUUUACCAAGUGUUUGUUGUUUUGAUUGCCUCAAGAAUGUGGAUGAUUGGGACCUAUGUUGUUCUUGAUUUGGUGCAAGUGUUGUAUACGGGUAUAUAUUUCUAUAUGUUCGAUUUUGAGUGUCUUCUUCCAUGAAUUUUAAGGAUCUUUGGAGGGCCGUAUCUCAAUGAGGGUAUAUAUAUCCGAUUUCGAGUAUGUUCUUCCUUGAAUUUUAAGCAUCUUUGGAGGGUCAUAUCUCAAUAUACGAACACAAGUCUCGAUUUCCGGAUCAAUAUAGAUUAGGACAGCUAAUUGCUAGGUGGUCAUGUUACUCGGACUUCGAUGGGUUCGAAUAGUUGUUUGCUUGGUGUAACGUGUCAACCUUUUUUCGGGUUAUUGUUACGGGUUCAUGUCCUAUGUUAUUUCAGAUCAAAUAUAAAUAUUAAGAUCCUUGAUUAAGUAUUUUCUUAGCUUUCUUCUUAGUUUCCAGUUGCUUGGUCAACUAGUUUGAAAGCUUUAAAGCCGAAAUCGAACUAUCAAGCAAAUGCAUACCAGUUUGGUGUAAGAUCGAGUUCGGAUUGAUCAUGAAACUCGAAUUGCUAUAAUCUUGGCUUGUUGGUUUAUUUAAAAAGCUAGGGCCAAGCCUUGUAUGGUCGCUCUAUUCUGGCAAUAGCGGCAUAGAUUUGUCGAUAGCAUUGAGCUGUGCAUAAAUGUUCUUUGCAUUUCUGGGCUGUGCCCGUCGAACUUGUAGCAUCAUACAUUUGACUUUACAUGGUAUUGCAGAUUUCUUGAGAGCUUAAUAAGCCCAGAAGUCGAAUACACCGUCGCGGCUGUAGCUUUUUGGGCGAUCGAAACCAUCUAUCAGGAGAGUUUCGCACACUGCUUAGAAGAUGACAGUAAAACCCCUCCAGAACUCAAGGAAACUUGCCAAAGAUGGGGCAAUGAAAGCUUCGGAGAGUACUGUAAUUCCCUCCGGAAUAUUGUCGAUCGACAGCUAGAAAAAGCGUCCGAUGAUGUCAUCACAAAAGCUGAAGCGACACUCCUGCGUGUUCUUGAACACGAAGUUGAUUUCUGGAACAUGAGCCAUAGAAGAACCUGAAUCUACGAGACUGAGCUGCAUGGUUUACCUUUCGCAGAACUUGAUAUAUCAUAAGCACCAAUAUUACAAAGUUGCGUGCAUAUAUUGUUAAAUCAAUGGUUUGGUAUAUACAUAAACGUACCUAGAAGUUAUGGACUCUGUUUCUCUUCCGCCUAUAUAUGAAGUUGUAUAUAUGGUGAUGGUUUUUCAGAAUUGGAUCAGGUAACCUUACCAAAGGUUUUCAGAUUAGUGGAGCUAAGGUUUUCAAAAUUGGUGGAAUCAAGUUUUUCCGUUUUUGUUUCCUGCAUUACUCUUUGGUGAUUGAAGAAAAAAAAUUGAAUAUAUUUACGCCUAUAUAAUAAUUUCUAUAAAUUUUAUAAUAAAACAAUAAAAUGCAUCAUUUGUAAUUUGUAAUUAUUAAUACUAACAUUUUAUACUUUUAAUUAAUGAAUGGAACUUCUUAUUACCUUUCUGUCUUUUCGUGAGUAAACAAUAUGAAUACAAUGGAUUUAAUCAAAAUAAAUAGAUAAAAUGAAGGUUAAAUUUGUCCUAUGAAUAACGAAUGUCGUGGUAAACGAAGGGACUAAAAAAAUCUUUUUAUUUUUAAAAAUUAUUAAUAAAUAUUUUUAACCAUACAAAAUGUUUAAAUGAAAUAACAAUCGAACGUGAGAUUAGUAAACAUUCGUACAUAAAUACUUUACUACAUCUAUAAAUAAUUCAUUUAUAAAUAUUUAUAAUAUAAUUUUAUUUAUUAAUAUGUUUUUUUCCAUAAGGCCCAGCCCAAUUCUUAGAACCCUAGGCCUCUUUUUUAAUCAAACCCAUUAAUUAAAGGGUUCUAAUAAAACUGCUUUAAACCUCUCUCUGUAACCUAGCUAGAAGAACCAAGCAUUCAUUAAUGGCCGCUCUCUGCAACUGAAAACUUGAACAAUUCUCUUUUAAAGGUCUGGUCUCAGCUCAAACACUUUGGUAAGAACUAAACUUCCCCAAUUUUUCAUUUUUAAAAAGAAUUAUUAUCCUUUUUGGGUUUGAUUCCUACUGUUUCCUUUUUACUAUGAUUUUUAGUAUUGUUUAGGGUUCUAACCUUCAAGCAAAAUGGAUUAUUUUUCAUUGUUGGAUUUAGUGAAUUUCCAGGGUUCUUUUGCAUAUAUGUUUCUGGCUGAAUUUUUUUAGUUACUUUACCCCAUUUUUGUUUGUUGGGUUAAUAGCUUGAUAAUGAUGUAAUUAGAGGUUGGUUUGAAGAGAAAAAUGGAAAAAAACCCUAAACCCUAAAUUAUGUUUUUCCCCACAUGAUUUGGCAUUAGUGAGAUGGAAUUUGAAUUUACUGUGUUUUUGACCUGUUGGUAUUAGAAAUAGGUCAAUGUCUUUGUACUUUUACAGCAUUUAAGAUUUAGUCUCUAUGCUUUAGAAGUUAAAAAGUUAAAUCCUCUUACUUUUUCAAUUUAAAAAUCCUAAUCCAGUCAUUAACACCGUUAGUAUGCCACAUGAUAUGAGGGCAGCCUAAUUAAUGUGCCAAGUAGGUAAAUUUUGACAAAAAAUACUAAAGAUGUUAAUGAUUGGACUGGGAUUGUUAAAUAGAAAUAGCAAGCGGACUUUAACUUUUUAUGUUUUGGGACUAAAUCUCUAAUUUUGUCAAAAUACAAUUAUUGGUGGCGUAUUUUAACCUUAGAAAAUUUUGCAGCAUUGAGAAUUGUGAAUGUUGUUUGAAGGGGUUUUUUUUUUAAAAAAAAUGUUUGCAGAGUGGGAAGUAAAAGGAUGUUGACAGCUGAUUCGGGUUCUGUGUUAAGGUUAGUGGAGAUAGAAGGAAGAGGAAGGGCUCUCGUUGCAUCGCAACCAUUGAAGGCGGGGCAAAUCGUUCUCCAGGAUUCUCCUAUCGUUGUUUACUCCGCUUUUCCGUUGGUUAAACCUCAAUCUUCGGCAUCUUAUUGUGAUAAUUGCUUUAGGAUACUCUCCUCAUCGGCAAAUGUAGUGCCGUGUCCAUUAUGUUCUCAUCAUCUCUUUUGCGGUCCAAAUUGCCUAACCGCGGCAACAGCUUCCUCUCAUUCACCUUGGGUCUGCCAGGCUUUUAGUCGUCUUCGGGAUUGCCCUUCUCUUUUUUCUCAACCUCUCGAACAGCAAGUGCAAGCUCGGUUUCUUAUAGCUGCAUAUAAUCUAGCCCUUGUUUCCCCUUCGGAUUUCCAGGUUUUGGUUUCACUUCAAGGUCAAUAUUCCCCUUCCGAUGCUCCUGCUGCCGAAUUCCUACAUUCCCUCAUUUUGUCGGUCUGUCCUCCGCCUUCGUUACCGAUUUCUAUCGAACUCACAGCUGCUUUAUUGGCAAAAGAUAAGCUCAAUGCUUUUGGCUUGAUGGAACCUCUCUCUCUACAACAAGACGGAGAGAGGUCCGUCCGUGCUUACGGGAUCUAUCCCAAAGCAUCUUUCUUCAACCAUGAUUGUCUUCCAAAUGCUUGCAGAUUCGAUUACCUCGACUCAGCUCCGGCCCAGAACACCGACAUGAUUGUUAGGAUGAUUCAUGAUGUCCCUGUAGGUAGAGAGAUUUGCUUGAGUUAUUUCCCCGUCAAUCUCAACUACUCAGCCCGACAGAAGAGAUUGACCGAGGAUUAUGGCUUUACCUGCAAUUGUGACCGUUGCAAAGUUGAGGCUAAUUGGUCCGAUAAUGAAGCUGACGUUAUAGAUGAUAAUGGGACCGUCGAAGAGAAUGAGGAUGAGGAGAUCAUGGAAGAGGACAACGAUGAACAAAUGGUAGCCUCUGAAGGGGAUGAAGUAGGAGAAGCCGAUUUCCCCCAUGCUUAUUUCUUUGUGAGAUACAUGUGUAAUCGCGAAAACUGUUGGGGCACGCUCGCGGCGUUGCCCCCAUCCAAUGAUGUUCAGUCUAAAGUAUUGGAAUGUAAUGUCUGUGGCAACCACAAGAGUGAAGAAGAUAUGUGUUGAACUUUAGGACAAAGGUAUUCUUUUUCCAUUGGAGGAAAUGCUCUUAUCACAACAAUGUUGGCUUUCUUCCAUAGUUGCAGUUCUGUGUUUUUAUGUGCUUGUUUUCACGGUAAUUCAUUUAAGUAGUAAAUUUUAAUUUUGUUAAUUUUUUUAUUAAUAUGGGAUUAAAUUUAUUAACUUAAUAGUAGAGCGAUUGAUUUGAACCGAUUCCUAUAGUACAGAAGUUUCUACAGCUUUUAUCAAGGUCUUGUUGUUCAGGUACUGUCUUGGCGCGUCUUGUCGAUUUCGAGAAAAUAAGUACAGGCGUUAUUGACCAAUAUCGCAAACCUCCUCCUGAUGGUCAUCUGCUUUCUACUUUCCGAGGAAACAACAUUCAGGGAGCCUUGACUACAGUGAAUCAAACAUUGCAUAAUCAACUGAGCUGAACUUCGGAUUCAUUCUGUAUUGAACUUUGAUCCAUGCAUUCAACAAAAUCUCUCGUUUGUCAAGGAUGAAUUCUUGAUUCAAAUUGUUCGAAAAAAGAAUAAUAGCUGGAAACUCGUAAAUCAUAAAUUCAAAGAGAAGAUAAGCUUGCCGGGAACUCGAAAAAUCCAGAGACACAUGUUCAAGCUACAAUGAUUUCAUAAAGGGAUUCCACAACUACUGGGAACUAUCGUCACUUAUAAACAUCGGAAAAAGGAAAGAAGACAUAUACGGAGUUAUUUCCGAAGGCUCAAUCACUGGCAUCCAGCAACGAACAGGCUAGAUGUCAAUGCCUUCAACUCUUCCUCCGUUUGCUCCUAUCAAUGGAAUCCGAAUCAGAAGGCUUCCAAGAUGAGCUAUAUACCUUCUAUUAUGCCUCCCCCUCUGCUUCUUCCUCCUCUCUUGCCUUCUCUCUUCCUCGGACUUGGAUGAUGAUGAAUUGUAAUCCGUACUACUCUCGGCUGAAGAAGAAUCUGAUGAGGCACCAGUAUCAGUCCUGAAAACUGAAGCCUCACUAUCAGAAUCGGACCCAGAAUCUCGCCGAUGCUUCCUCUUGCUUUUCUUAGACCUAUUACCGUCAUUCCUAUCCUUAACAUCCAGGUUAUCCAAAUUAUACGAGAUUGAAAGUUUCAUCCUCAAUUUCGAAUUCUUAAGCUGCUACGUGCGUGAGGGUUGUGACAUAGACUCGUUCAUUCUUACAUUCGUAUCUCCAAUGUCCGGCUUGAAAACACUUUUGGCACUGCUAAGCACCUAGCGUAGACAUUGUCGUAUUGUCUUUCCUUUCACCUAAUCGAAACGCCUUUUCGGUACUCAUCAAAUACAUGUGCCGUUUUGCUUCCCUUUUCUCUUGCCAUCUGCUCAGUCCCUCUUUUUUUUUCCCGUAAGAAUUAACAUUACGGGCUGCAGCUGCCGCCGCCCUUUCAGCUUGAACACGACCUUUUGCAGCUGUCAUUGCUGUGGCCUUGAUUCUUUCGGCCGCGACUUGAGUUUUUCUUCUUGUUUACCGGACAUCUUAUCAAAAUGACAAAAAGAAAAAAACCGGUAUAUAUAUAUGUGUGUAUAUCAACUCAACCUAAAUCCUUAAGCACAUUCAAAUUUUCCAGUUUCUUCAUUUAAAACAUAUAAUGCUAACUAAAUUACUAAAAAGAAUUCCAUUUUUUACAACAAAUUCUCUAUUUUUACAGAUAAAUAGAUGGCCAAUCUUGAAAGAAAUUAGAUUAUUUCACUUGUACAUUGGAUGAAGGCAUAAUUUCCUUAUUUAAACAAAUAGCGCCAAACAAAUUAAUUGAAAGACCCAAUAUUCACAACAAAAUCCCAACAUUUAACUAUAAAUUAAAAUAUGAAAAAUAAAUCAAAAUUCAGCAGAGACACUAAAAGAAGAUAAUUUUGCAUAAUUUGCCAACUAACAACCAAGAAAUUAUAGGUAAAGAAGCGAAAUUUCUUCAAAACAACGAAAAUUGGGGAAAAUUUUUGGACGUACAAAACAAUAGCAAACACCAACUUCAAAACACGAAUGAUUGAAAAUAAAAUGUACAUCUGCGAUUUAAUUCAUAUUGAAUCCUAAACUGAACAUCGUUUUGCAAAAAAAAAAAAAAAGAGAUUAAUCAAGAAAUUAAUUGAAGCUUACCGGGAGUUCUUCAAGUAGGGGAGCAUGCAAGAAAGAAGAAAAGAGGGAAAUUUGAUAAUUAUUUGAGAGCGGGGUUUUUUCGUCUUUAACAACUAUAUUUUUUUUAUAUAAAUAGAAUAAAAAUAGAAAUUAAAAGAAAAGUAUUGUGCUUUUUUUUUUCAUCUAGGUAAUAUGAAGUUUAAAUUUCUACUUAAUUUUUUUUUCGCUUUACUUGUGAUCUAAUCUUUAAUGAAAAAAGUUUAUAUAAGACAUUUUUUAAAUAAGAAUUAAAAUAUUAUGUAAAGAAGAUUUUCUUUUUGUAUUAUAGAUGUCGGUUAUGAAAUAUAUUUUUUUUUCACAAAUUUAAAUUCUUUUAAAAAAACUAAAAUUAAAUUAUAUAUUUUUAUUAUAAUAAAAAUAUUUAUUUUAAUAACGUAUAUUAUAUUAUAUAUUAUAUUAUAUUAUAAAAUUGCAUAUUAUAUUUUAAAGUUUUAUGAAUUAUACUUUUUGAAAUUAAGAAUUAAAAUAUAAACAAAAUAUAUUCAUAAAAUCAUAAUAAAAACUAAAUCAAAAUUAAUAUUACAAUGCUCCAUGCUUAAUUAAUCAUAAAUAAAUUAUGAGAUGAAAAAUUAAAGACUUGAAAUAAAAACCUUUUUAUUAUAUAAAAGAAGAACCUGAAAUUUUCACAACAAAAACCUACUUUUUCUUUUCUGCCAUUGAAAAUUCAAAUAAUAAUAAUAAUAAUAACAAUAAUAAACUGAUUAAAUAAUUUUAUGAAAUGUUUUUGAUAAAAUUCCAUUUAGAAAGAAACAUGAUAUGAGCAAAAUAAGAGAACACAACACAUUUCAUGGUCAUAUAGUCUUAAGCUGUGAAACGACUUUAAAUACUGAGACAACCAGUUUUUUCUUGAUGUCUUUAUUAAAGACACAAAAGGUUUUAAAACACUCCUGUCAGAAGAUUGGCCGCCGUCGAAAGGGCGGCUCCAGUGAUGGCGCAUUGCAACACGUGUUCUUGGCAAGGUUUCUCACAUGUGAGUGCCACUGUCAUCCCUGUAAGUGCCCCCGCAACCGCACUGUUUUUCUGCAUACACACAAUAUCGGCCACCAACAAGGGCGUCGAUGUCAACUACUAUGAAUUGUUAAAAAAACGAUACCCAAUCCAUUUUCUUGCAAGUAAAGAAGUUGAUCAUACCCAAUCAUGAGCGCCACGAGCCUCUUGUAAGCCGUAUGUGAUUCCCGAAUAUAAGCCGGCAGCCAGGCCUGCAAUGUACAAUUUUGGAUUGGUGGACAAUUUAAGAUCAAUUAGUACUUUUGAAAUUAAGCCAAUAAAGUAUUUGCAAAUCAACCUUUUAUAAAACAGUAGCAAGCAAAUGCCUAUUGGGACUUGCAAGAACUAGAACUCACCCCAUUGUAGGGAUUCCUUUCCAGUGCUCUUCACCUGUAUAAGAUUGUAACAAGUAAUAAGUUGGCAAUAUACAUAUAUAUAUGUGAGUGCGCACGCGUAUAUAUAUAAUAUGCUAUUUUGUCUAGAAUUUUCAGUUUUCUCACUCUUGUAUGAGACAAGUACCUGAGUGCAGAGGUAUUUGGACAUGGAGAUGCAAUGGUCCAAGCACAUGCACAUGAAAAAUGGCUCAUCGUGUUUGGAUAUGGACAUAUAAGAAGUAUGACCCUUCUAUGAAAAGGGUAUGGAACAAGUAUCCCAACACAGAGCAUUUGGACAUGAAGAUGCAAUGCUCCGGUUACAUGAAAAACGGUGCACCAGUGUUUGGAUAUGGAGAUGGAUACGUAUUGGUAAUUGGUAAAGGACAUGUAAGAACACGGAUACAAGAACUACAGGCACUUAAGCAAGACACAUACUUAUAUCUAACGCUUAAUCCGAGAGACAUAUUUGCAUCUAGUUAACACUCAAUCCGAGUCCGUAACAUAUAAGAUAGUCCACUGCUGAGAUUGAGCUUAGCUGAAGAAGUCCCAGGCUAGAUAAUUGAAUCAGUAACUCGAAGAAAACCUGCCUUUUGUUUUUAGGCAGCAUAUAUAUAUAGAAUAAAUUAAACAUUUCAUUCAGUAUACAAUGCAUUAGGUCCAUUAUGAAAAAAAAAUUGAUGAUAUCGUUAGGGAAAUUUGGGAACUCACCAUUGCUUCGAGCGAUUUUCGAUUGGUUUCUCCUGCGAUCCACAUAUAACCAGCAAUCAAUGCCCAAAUUAAUCUUAAACUUGACACUCUCCAAAUUCGAAAACGGAAGAUUUGACUGGUACGGAACGAUAUACCAUAUUUUAAUAGCAAGCAAAGUAUUUGAUGAAAUACCUCUGAGAUAAGGAAAUGGAUUCUUCUUAUUGUUCUUAGCACUGAUAUCAGUGGAACUACUUCUUGAUUUAGUUCCUGCUACCAAAUUACUAUUAAAUUUCUAAAAAAACUAAAGUAAACAAUCCAUCAAUAACAGCUUAAUUAAGAAAUUAAUUUAAAAAAAGAGAGAGACAUGCUUGCCUUCAAGAGCUAGAUAACAACCCUCUCUGGCAACACCUUUAAUGGCUCCAAUCUACAAUUUAAAUUAGACCACCACCAUCACCAAAAAAAAUCAUAUUCUCAUUGGUUUUGUUUUAAAAAAAAAAAGGCAUAACCAUAUGCAUACGUACGCCAGCAGCUUUGACAAAGCUCUCAGCAAUGCGAUUAAGGAGAGGGUGACCGAGAUCGAAGAAGCCUCCUUUGUCGAAGCUACGUAAUUCAUCGAGCAAUGACCUAGUCUCUAAACUAGUGGCCAUGGCUAGUUAUUUGUGUGUGCGUGCGUUUUAAGUCGAUAAUAAGAAGUUGGUUGCAGGGAUGUUAUGGCAGAGAGAGAUAAGAGUAAGAAGAUUUUGCAGGGAUGUUAUGGCGGAGAGAGAUAAGAGUAAGAAAGAAAAGUAGAGAGAGUCAAGAGGUGAAAGGAUAUGUGUUCCUCAGAGCUUGCAUGUCUCCUGCAUGGGAAGCUGAUUAGCGGGUCUUCGUGGCCAUUUCCCUUUUUCGCCACCUAUUGUAGCCGAUAACCUCUAGCCACAGCCUAAUGUUGUUUUUACUGCAAUUGGAUAGGAUGGAUUUUGAUUUUCAAAUUACUUUAAUUUAGAUUUAAAUUCAGUCCAUAGAUUAAUUUCAGAGAUUCUUUUUCCUUUUUCGCACUUGAGAUAAAAAUAAAUUAUUACAAAUUUGAAUCAUUCAUGGUUAUGAUCAGUUCAGGAUAUUUUAAAUCAUCCAUUCAAGUUAAUUUCUUUAUUUUUUGGAAAAGAAGUUAAUUUCACUUAUUCACAUUAUUUCAAACUUAAUUAAAUUUGAAUAGGAGCGCAUCAAUCGUUUUAAUCAAUUCGUAUACUUUCUCAAAAAUAUUAUCCCUAAAUAACCCGACAUAAUCGGACCAAAUCAAAGCACAACUUGAGCUCUUUUUUUUGUUCAUUUUUUUACUCAAGCUUAAUUCUAGUCAAAUUUUUAUUAUUAUUUAAAAUUUGAAAUAUUAAAGAAUUAUUUUGUACUUAAUUUUUUUAUAUAUUAAGAAUUAAAGUUAAAUAUAAAUAACUACAAAACCAAACAGACCCAAAUUGAAAAUACUAGCAACCAAGGUAAAGUCUCAAUCCAUUAAAUCUCCCAGAAAAGAAAUUAGAAAGCAAAGAGAAGAGAAGAGUAAAAAAAGAACAAAGUAAUUAAUUAAAGUUUAAGCUUGAAAACAACGAGCAUAAAAUUGGUAACAAAUUUGGACUCUUUUAUGAUUUUAAUAAAGAAAAAGAAAUACCCUAUUUUCAAAAGUAAAACAAAAAAACGGUUAUAAUAAUUUACAAAUGCUCUAUAAAUAAUGAGGUUUUAAAACUACAAUUAAAGAAAAUUUGGACCGUCCCUAACCCAUCAUCCUAAAGUAUAACACAGUCAGCCACACACCCACCACAAAACUGAACAACAAUGGGGCAAAAUAUUACUACCCCUAUUCUAUCAGUUUUUUUCAUCAUAAAGGCUUUUUCUAAAUACCACGUGGAUAGAUUCAAAGAAGAAAAGAAAAAGGAUAAAAUGGGUAAUGUCUUCACAAAUGCAAACAGUUGAAGGCAGCUUCACAGCAUCAGAAAAGGCAUUGUAGACUUACUUGAGCAUGAUUUCGAGUAUUUUUUUUUUUGGUCUUUCCCGGGUGGUAGCACUAUACACGAUCAUCCUCCUCCGACAACUCAUCUGCUUUCUCGGAAUCCAAGUUCACUUUUUUUUCUCUUUGGUUGGCCCAAGGCUGGUUUAAUCACUAAGCACAUCCUUGAAUAAAAACAAACCAUUAUUAUGGGAUCUGUAUAGCUCAUGAUCCAUUUACAGCCAUUUCGGGUGAUGAUUUUGGCGGUAUCAACGGGGAGUCUUCUCCAGUCAAUUGUCUGUUGUCUGAACAGUUUCUAGGAGAUCCUUUGUCUCUAUGGUUGUCCUCUUCUGAACUAUUGUCGUCCGGACUACUAGAUUCCUUCUCUAGAUGAUUUUCCUCACCUGAGCCUUCGUUUCCCUCAGCUGAUCGAGUGGAUAAUAAAUGUAUGGUGUUUGCGGUUUUCUUACUAGGCAAGACUGCUUGGCUUAACGUUGAACAUAAAGCUGCAAAUACACUAUCUCUCGAUUUAGGGCUUUUCCCCAAACGUUGCUUCUUGGAUAGCUCAUGCUCCUUUUCCUUGGGAUUCAGCUUCCGCUUUGACCUAAUGGACUCCAACAUUCCCUCAUCUUCCUCCGAGGUUUCAGUCUGCUUCCUCGGAGGCGGUGGCUUAUAGUCUUCAUCAUCUUCAUCGUCCUCAUAGUCAACCAGUCCACCAGAUCUCGGGCUACAAAAUUAUAUAAAUUACGAACCUAAAACACACUGAAAUGCAUUUUUAGUUAUCUAUUGGAUGAGACCGUGAAAAUACCUUAAUGAUGAGCGGUUGGCCUCAACUCCAUUGGAUGAAACAGGCUGAGGCUGAACUUUCCUAGGAUGAGAUGCCGAGGUUGUAUCAUCUUCAUCACUGUAUGCAUUCACAUUCAAUCAUUAAAAGGGGAAACAAAAUGGUUUAGAGAAGUGUUAACUCAUCUAAUGAUGAAAGCAUACCUGUCCUCGUUGAAAUAAUCUUCCUCCUCUUUCUCCAAAGCACGCUCAUCAAUUCGUUUUCUUGGGUCUGGUGCAUUAACAUCCAUUUUAGUUCCACAAUUCUCCAAGCACUGCAAACAGACAAGUCACAUGAACAGAAGUUCUAUAUCUAAAAAUCUUGGUUGUAAAAUUGGUCGGCAACAGGAAUACCUGCUCGUAUUUAAUUUUCAAUGAGUGAAUAGAAGCCAAAUUCUCAAACUUAACCAACUGAUUCCAAAACGAAUCAACAAUAUACUUAACCAAUAAUUUCAUGUUUUCCUGCACGAAACAAAGUUAUUAGAAGACAGAAUCUUCCAGAAACGUAUAAUAUCCAAAUAUAGUGCGGAAGUAACAUGCACCUUGCGGAUAUAUUCAAAAAGCUCUAAAAUGGCAGAGUUCAGCACAUUGUAUCGAUUUCCAUUAGCAACGAAAGCACCUAUAACUGGUUUAAGAAGGUUGUUCUUAACAAUAUGAUUUAUCAGAUGUUCAUCCUGCAAGAUGACAGCAUAAUUUAACUAGUUAAAACACGUAACAGACUCAAUCAACCAACCAGAAAAAGUGCUAAUCUGCAAUUGUUUUAGAGAGCAAACUAGUAUAACAAAUUAUUUAUAAAAAAAAAUGAUUUUCCUUAUUUAUAAAUAAGGGGGGAAAUAACCAGACUUAAGAAACUGCAAGCGCAUAAAAAAUGAAAAAAGAAAUAAUAAAAAUAACAGGUAUAGCAAGCAAGCCUAGCGAGUGAAAAAGGGAUUUAGAAAGGAGAUAAAAUAUGUCCAUUCUUCCCCAGAAUAAUUUUAUACACUUCCGAGUUGGAUAUCAAUGUUGCAAACAAACAUAACAGUUUAAUAGUUAAAGUGAGCCGUCUUAAAUGACACCAAUGGCAGGAGAUCUGCCAUAAUCCAGCAAACCACUUUAGACAUAUUCCAGUAAGUGCUGCACAUGGUAAGCAUUUAUUAUAUUUUAAUUGUCUAGGACUCUAGACAUCAAGCCUAUGUAAGACAAGUGUCUGAUACAAAUACUACAGGAAAAUUUGAAAAGAUAUAGCAACAUACACAUCCCUCCAUAUCUUAAGAGAUGUGUCUCUUUAUGCAACUAAAGUUCACACGUCAUUCACAUAGAAAACAGCUUCAGCUUAAUUUCAUUUUUCUCUUCAAUGACAUUUCUGAUUCUGAAGGUGUCAAGGUUCCGAUGCCAUAUGAUAUUUUUAUUUAAAGCCUAUACUGAAUAAACUUACAUGACUAGUGAGAAUGGUGCGAACAAAGCGAACUGCAGCAACUACUAAGUACUUUUCCCUUCUCCGAGUCAAUAACAAAACUUUUUCUAUAACAUUGUUAAGGAUAAAAUUACACCUGCAAACAAUGAAGAUAAGGUAAUUAACAUCUUCAGUUAAUAAGCCCAAUUUUACAUUAAUAGAACACGUAUCCUAAAGAUUACUUUAUUCUAUAAGGAUGGUGCAAAACACAGAAGCACAGCAAUUCGCAUAUGCUUGAGAGAAUUUCAGGCUUUGCGCUAUUUUGACUUUCAACUUUUCCGGCAUUUCUUGCCAAGUUACUGGUUGACUGGUCAGCCUCAUCAGAAGAACAUGAUAAUAUUAUGACAUCAAUUAGCUCGCCCAAAUGCUUCUCAUAAAAAAUAUCAGUAAUUGAAUCUCUCUGCAACAGAACAGUACACAGUCAAGUAUUUACAUGAAAGAACUUGGAAGUAGCAAGCAAAACCCGCAUGGAGAAAGAGAAAUUAAAUCUUACGUGAAGUUUAAGUGACAAAUUUCCAACAAUCAGCAGACAUAUAUAUAAUAAAUCACAAAUCAACAUCCAAAAUUUUUACACCUGCAUAAAUAAAGUCCAAACUGUUGUGGACACCAAAGGGGAAGAUAACACAGAUACAAGGUAUGAAAAUCACAUGAGAAGGAUACGUAUAUGAUAUUAAAAUCACAUGACAAGCAUUCUUCAGCCGUGAUUUCUAGCAUCUUAUAUCAUAACAAUCACUCAAUUAUCAACAAAACAAAGAAGAUCAGCUAAAGUUUUGAUUGGGAUCGUUAGACAUGAUAGGGAAAACAGACGCAAGCAAAUUUAUCAAUAUUUAGCUUAUCAAUAACUAUAUCUCUAUGCAUGAAGAUCCAAAUUCAGGUUAUUUGCAACUUUGUUGUCUUGCAAGUUGCAACCGUGCCUGAAUUCAAAUUUGAAAAAUGUUUUUGCUUCUUUAACUGCAAUAAGAACAGCACCACACUCUUAGGGGUGAGCGUUCGAUCGAAUCGAAUAAAAAAAUUUCGAGUUAAUCGAGUUGACGAAUCAUAUUUUAUCAUCCUAAUUUGAUUUAAAUUUUCUCGAAUCGAGUCGAGUGAGAUGGAAUUCGAAUCGAAUCGAAUAUAUUUGUUCGAGCUAAAUUUUAAAAAAUAAUUUUGGGUCCUUGUAACCACUGUCACCCAUCGUAAUAAAAUUUGUCCAACUUAAUCAAAUUUUUUAUUAACUUUCAUCACCUCAUAAUUUAUAUAUUAAUUUUUUAUAUACUGGUUAGCUUCUUUGCUUACUUAGUUGUUUCAAUUAUCUUCAGAUUCUUGUCACUAAGUAUUUUGGAAUUAAAAAUAUAUUAAAUGUAAAAAUAUAAUUUUUUAAUAAGUUAUUUUAAAAAUAAAAUGUGAAAUGGAUACCAAUAUAAAAUUUUAACACGAAUAUUUUAUGACAUAAUUAAUAAUUCAAUUUUAAUAUAAAUAUUCAAUAUGACUAAACAAUUCAAUAAUAUAAAUAAUAAAAUGUGAAAUUUAAUUUAAUAAUAUAAAUAGUAGAUAUAAAUAAAAUUAUUACUAUUUAUGUUUAGUGAUUUUUUUUGGAUAAUUUUGAUUUUUUAUUGAGAGUAAAGGGUGAGAAGUAAAAGUUUAGGGGGAGAAUAAAAAUUUUUGGGAAUAAAAGUUUGAGGAAAGUAAAUAGGGGGGAGUAAAUUUUGGAGGGAAAUAUUAAAAAAAUUGGAGGGGGGAGGGUUUGGGGUAGAUGGGAGGUAAGAUGGGAAGGGAAUAAAAGUUUUAGGGGAGAGGGAGUAACUUUUGGGAGAAAAUAAAGGUUUUGAGGGUUUUUGGGUAAAAUUCUGAGAAAAAGUAAUCGGCCAGUCAGUAGGUAGGAAAUGGAUUUUGGGUAAAUUGGGGGGUUGGGGGAGGAGAAAGUUUUAGGGAAAAAAGAUUUGGGAGUUUAGCAAUUGUAAAAUAUUAUAGUUUGAUAUUUGAAAUAUUCGAAUUAUUUGAGUUAUUCGAAUUCGAAAACUCAACUUGAUUAAAACUCAAAAUUUAAAAAAAAAUUUGAGUUGAUUCGAAUAACUCGAUUCGUUUAACUCGAAAUUUGAAUUUUUUUUCGACUUUUUCGAGUCGAAUCGAGUUUUGCUCACCCCUACACACUCUUGUGCAGUAAAGCAAGACAAGGGCUAGAAAGAGGUUAAGCUAGAUCCAAAAGUCAUGAUCUUAAACUAUGAAGAGUAGAAGAAAAGGAUCCAGGUAAUAUGCCCCAGUUAUUUGGGUAUUUAGGUUGAGCAUAAGUCUAUAAAAUUUCCCAUCUACCAAAAUAUAAAACUUGCACGGAGAAAUCAAGAAUCAAAGGUAGGCACCUGAGCUCCUGAUAAUGUGAAUGAAUCCAGUAAACUACGAAGAAUUUCAAGAAACUGGCAGUGCAUAUCCUCCCCAAAAUCUGUUACCAUCCCUUUAACCUGCAAGCGUACAACUACAUUAGUUCUUUUAAUUCUCUCUCCCUAUAUACAGGCAAGCAUAUACCAUGGUGAGGAAGAUCUGUUGAGUUCAUCCGAUUCUUUUAUUUCCACAUAAUUUUUUACCAUAUUACCAAUAAACUCGAACAGAACACAUACCAAAAGUCCAAAAAGUGGAAUUCCUUCCUGGCGAACAACAUAAGACCGCAGAAGGUUUGCAUCCUGAUUCAAGAACAGUAUGAGAAUGUCUGUCCUGCAACCAGUAUGGAGACCUACUGUUAGGCCUUCAUUAUAACUUAAGGAAACUAAACAUUUAUACGCAAAGCAAGGAAAGAAAAUAUAAAAGACUGAAGAAAAAUAUUAUAAAAUGCCCCCAUUACCCAGUUAGUACAAGCUUUUUAUCUGGACUCUGCAGAACAUCAGUGAUGAUAUCAAAAAUACCUUCAUUGAUAAGAUCCCUAAAAUGAUUGAAUAAUGGAAACUUCAGCCAUAAGAUGCAGAAAAAAAAAUUGUUUAGAUGAUAUUUCCAGAGAAACUUUAGCUUUCAGAAUGAAGAUACAUCAUGAAAACAACACUUAUACCAGAUUCUAACUUGUAGAAAAUAAUACCUAAAUAGUCGAAGCUGCUGCACCACUUGAAGGCUCUUGCUUAAACUACAAAAUUCGUGCAGGAAAUAUACCUAUUGAAAGAAUAAGCUGAAGAAUUAUCGCAGGCACAAAUCAAACAGACUAAACCAUACUUCAAACCCAUGAAAAGAACCUUGAACAACAAAUAUUCAUAUACCAAAUGAAAAAUAAAACAAUAAAACUUCAGACCAAUGUCAACAGUUACCAAAUUUUUCUUUGAUUCAGCAGAUGUGGUGGGUGAUCUCAACCUAGCAAACAAUUCCUGAAUGAAGGUGCUAUCAUCCUUCAAUAUAGAAAUAACCUACAACACAUUAUUGCAAUUAGUGCAAAAGAAAACAAAAGGGCACAUGUAUUUAACAACAGACACUAAAAAUCUUACAAUAGCAUUGUUUGAAUGAAUUAUAGAAUUGAGACUGGCAGCUGUGGCCUCAUCUAAUACCCUUGCCAAAACAACAUCCUGAAAGAAACAAUCAAAAGCAAGAGUUACAUGAUUAAAGACGAGAGUGAGACUCAUAAAUAAAGUUUUUAACAUGCAUACCUUCAAAUAACCAACUCUGUAUGUCUGGUGUAUCUUUGACAGGGCGAGGGGAUUUUUAAUUGGAAUAGCCUGUAAAAAUCAAAUAUCAUAAAAUGAACUCUUUUUAAAAGAUCCUGGAUUUUCUUCCUGAUCUAAAUUUCUUCCAAGUCUAAACCUCCAUCAUUUCAUUAAGACACAUUCAAGAAUACAAUACCUCCUUAAAAACAACAUGUUCUUUCAGAAAAAGCCGGUAGUGUUGCAACUGAGAAACAUCAGCAUCAUCUGCAUACAAGGAAGAAAGUGUCUUCAGUCUUAAUGAAACCAUGGUAUAAACUAUCAAGCAAAUAAUCAAUUCUGGGGCAUGUAGACAAGAACAUCAUAUGAACACUAAGCAGAAAAUCCAGAAUUUAACAAAAUGCAACAGAUACUAAAUGGCGAACCAACAUGCAGCUCAGAAAAGUAACCAAUUUUGAAGCAACAAACACAGGUUUAAACAAGCUUCACCUAAUUACCAAUGAAAGAUGGAUUGCUCUGCCUAAAGAUUCAUGUAAAAAUUUACUUGAAUUAUCAAUCACUUCCAAAAGCUGACAUUUAUUCCUCAAUAACAUAAAAUUUAAAUUGAAUUAAAAAAUAACACAAAGAACCAUGCACUUGAAAAGAGAAAGCAAACAAACAGGAAACAUAUGAACUCUCAGAAAAUCCCAAAAUAUAACAAAGUUAUUUGCAUAAAGAAGUAUCGUGCCAAUAAUACAAGUAAAUUUUCAAAUUAGACAUUGAAUUCAAUCAACAAUAGUCACCAAUAAUAAAUCCACGAACAAACAGUAUAGGACUUACAUUCAAGAGAACCGAUAAUAUCCAUGAUUAAUUCAUCCCCAAAUAUUUUCUCGAAAACUUGAGGACUAUUAAGCAAAACUGUAAAACAGCCAACAACAUAAAUCACAUAUCCAUGAAUCACUUGUAAAAUAUAAGCUUUUAUAACAAAGAAAUAAGAGCAUCCAAGUUAGAAAGAGUACUAACUUAUUCCCUUAAUUAUUUUGAAUAUCAUGUGAAGACCAUCUAUAUUUUCCAAGUCUUCACAGAUUCUGAAUAGCUCCAUCAGCUUCUGGAAGAAAUCUUGCUGCAUACUCAAUUCAGCAGGUCUAAAAAUAUUAAGAAACUAACAUGGAUGGAAAAUCAACACGAGGGUAUUAAGCUAUAGAGUUAAAACAGAAACAAUAAAAAAACCAGGAAGCAAAGUAACAAAUGAUAAAGCCAUGACAACAUAGGGAAAAUAUAAAAGAACAAGUACUCGAGCUCGUCGUAACAUAUUGAAGAAAGAUAUUUAAUCUCUCUCCAUAUGACGGAAGAUCAACGAGCUGACAACCUCAGAAAGGUUAAAAACCAGUGGAAAACCAAAUCCUCAGUUCAUAACACAGCAACAAUUGAGACUAUGACAGAUAUACCAAUAUUAAGAUAGAUAGAAGAGCAGUAGUUGAUUACAGAAUACUAAACUACAUAAUAUCUAUAUAUAGAAAAAAUUAACAAAAGAAACUGUUAGCAAGAACAAAGUUCAAGAAAAGCAUACAUCAUUCAAUAUAAGUUCCGUCAGCCGCAUCUGAUCGGCAAUGCCACUCUCAGUCACAGUCUGCAGGACAAAAAUGAUCACCUUAAUGCAUAAUCAUAUAAACAGGCAUUGCCUGAGCGGGCUAAAUCCGAACACCUUUCCAAGAAAACUUAAUCCAGGCUAGAAAUCAUGGGGCUAUAUUAGAAAUAAUUAUUAAAUAAGGUAAAAUAAGAUGAUCCAAAAACAUGAGAGCAUAAAAACCAUUAACUUCAUUAAAAAUAAAGGAAAGAAAAAAUGAGGAAGAAAAGCAUUAUCAAAUGUUUUUGAGAAGAAACCCUCAAAAUUACAGCAAGCAACAAAAAUAACCCUAAAUAAAAUGCAAUCAAGAGGACUCGGUUAUUCAUUAUAACCUUCAGGAUUAUGGGAAGAGUGGAAAGCUCCACGGCUGGCAACUCCCUCAACUCACUAUUCAUUGUGUGAAAUAUCUCGUCUGCAGUAAUCAUAUAUGAGAAACCAUUAUCCAUUAUUGUAUUUCAAAAUUGCACAAAUGAUAUGUUGAACACAUGUCUGAAAAAAACACAAUCUUCAGUGGACUAGAGGCAGAAGAUGUUAGCCACUUGACAAAUGAAGCACAUUUAAUUAAGAUUGUCCUAUCUCUAAGGCAGAAGCUAAAUAUAUUAUUACAUUAACCAAAAUAACUGCUAACAUAUUUAAAGAUUUUCUGGAACUUUAGUCUUCAUUUGGACAAGAGUCACUAAGAAAGUUAAAACAUUUACAAGGAUGCAAUGUUUGAUUACUCUAGGGAGUAAGAUUUAAUAGCUUCAAUCAGAUUUAAAGGUACUUACUGUUAAGAGAACUGAAAUGCAUAUUUCUUUGCACAUUGCAAAUGUGGUCCCUGCAAUAGAAUAAAAAGAUAAACAGAUAGGAGUUGAAAGGCUGAGGCCAUAAACUUCCAACAGAGAGAGAAUAGUAAGAAAAGGGGAUGUAAAGAUAGAGAUUGAAAACACUCAACAAGGAAUAACCAAAAAAACAGUUACUUACCAUAUGUAAGAGCAUCCCGUGUUCUCCUGAAAGCUAAGUGCCAAUUCUGUAGAAUAUUCUGAGUCUCUCCAUGAUAUGAUUGUAUCUGAAGAUAAAUGCAUAUAUAAUUCAAUCAAACUGAAAUAUUCAAAAAUGGCAAAGAUCCAGUUAUGAACAGCAUAUUUGCUAUUAGUCAAGGCAGAAAUAUACCUUCUUGCUUUCUGUAAAUGUCAUCAGGGCUGAUGCGGUGUAAAAGCAAUGUCUCGUUGUCUUCUUCAUCAAAAACAAAUAAAGCCAGCUCUUCUGAUCUCUGAAGUAUAGCAUAUAGCAUUCAUUUAAAACAGAAUUUUGCCUAAAUAGUUUAUUUUCAAAAGUAAAUCCAGACUGAAAAAAGAGAACUAUAGAAGCAGCUAAAAGAUUUGAACAGACCUCCAAAUAAUCAACAGUGACAAGCCCAGUUCCUUGAUCAUCCCAUUUACCAUCCUCAUUCAAACGAUAGACCUUUACUCGCUGAAUUUGCAUAUAAGGAAUUUGACCCCAACAUAAAGGAAGAGGAGUUAGAUAUCUCAAACUCAUGCUAGAUUCAAAGAAAUAAACAAUGCAGACAGAAAAUGCAUUGACAUGAAGUUAGACUUUGAGCAGCUAUUUGGUCCGUUGUCAUACUAACAACCAAAAAUAACUUUUAUGAUCCCCCCCCCCCAAUUUCCCAGCUAAUUAUUUUCCUAUCAUAACAUUUGGCAGCCUAUAUGCUUCCAUUCACCACAUGGUGUUUCUAUUGAUGAUGAUGCUGUUUUUGCAUUCUAGAUUUGAUAACUCGCCCAUAGAGCAACACCCUCACCAUAACACAGAAAUUUCUAGCAAAUGCUACUAAGAUCAUACUUCCAAUGCCUCCUCAGGAAAAUGUAAACAAUUACUAAAAUAAAUAGCAUGUUAGUAAUGACGACUGCUUGAAAAUAAUUACUUAAAAAGGGUUCAUUAAAUAUAAUUUAACCAUUAUUUGACGACUAAAACACCCCCUUGUCCACAUUCCGUACAUAUAUUAAACAACAUAAUCACAAAAAAAAUUGAAAAAGCUGAAAAAAUACUAACUUAAGACCAAUUUAUCUAACUUCACAAGAAGAGAAUUGUCUGGUACCCCACUUAAAGCCAAUUUCACUUCACCGCACGCCUCAAACAAAAACCUAAGUCAUAUUUAACUAAUAAAACUGUGGAACAAGGGGAGUAAAAAUAAAAGGAAGGGCAUCUCUACCUACAAAACCAAAAACAAAUUUAAAUUCAUUGGAAGAUAGUAACUUAACUUACUAUGUAAAUUAACACCUAACUUAUCUUAUGCAAGUGAACUAACAAAAAUAAGACCGAUCUUAUGGCUCCCAAAAGACUUUCUGAAAGAAUAAAAAAAACAGAGAGAAAUAAGCUGACCUGCAUCGAAUUGGAGUUCCCUUGCGAUUUCUCUUGAGCGCCCAUCGUAGCUUCUCGCUCUCCUAUUUCAGAACUUUACGAAUCCCCAAAUAACCACGAGAAGUCGUAAAAAUUGGGGGAAAAAACGAGGUUGAAAUUGAGAGAGAUUGGGGAAAAACCUUGAAUUAGGGUUUUUUUUGGUAAACGAUAAGAGAGAAAAAGCGCGGGCUCUUGAAAAAAAUUACGCGGGAGAGAUUAAGGUUCUUUCUAGAAGGAAAUCAAUAGAAAACCCUAACCGCCAUUAACGAAGCUGAAUAAACCUUCGUCUCUCUCUUUUUUUUUUUCAAUUUGUCUAUUUUUUUUUCUCUUCAAUUUUCUGCGCAAGUGCCUGUCACUUCCCCCCCCCCCCGACCUUCAUAAGUGAAAGAAAACAAAAAUAAUAAUAACGCUUAAUUAUGUCCUAGUCCCUAUAAGCUUCAAGCUUUUGAAAUUUAAUCCCUCUAUCUUUUAAUUUAUAAUUUAAUUUCUUUACUUAAUUGAUUUAAAAAAUAAAAUUAAAUCAAUAAAUUUUUAAAUUUUUUUAUUAAAUUUAAAUAUAUUUAUUAAUUAAAAAUUAUUUUUUUAAAUCAUAUCCUUCCAAUGCUAAAAUUUCACAUAAUAGCGAAUAAGGCAUUGGUUUAUCGUUUAAGGAAGAAGUCUUCAAUUGAGCCCAUCAUGUGCAUAUGCCACAUGUAAGUUUUACCAUGUUCUUUACGGUUUUGUUUAAUUCUUUAUUUGAAACGUAUUGUAUUGGUUGAAUUUUAUAUUAUAAUUAAUUAUGCAUAUAUUUACAUUAUACUCAUAAUUAUACUGUAUUUAUAUUAAUAAAAAUUUAAAUAAUAAUAAACUGUCACGUACUCACAUUCAACGUGAGUGAAAAAAAUCAAAAUCAUGAAAUCAGAAAAUGUAGGGAUUAAAUUUUAAAUUUUUAAAAAAUAUAGGGACUGGUAGGAGAAUUGAACUUAAUAACAAGCUACUGCAACAAAUGGGGUUCUAAUUAAAGGGCUUUGUGUUCAUUUUAAUUACGGCUUUCGCCAUUGAUCCUUCGGUUCUCUGCUAUAUCCACGCGCUUUCUUUCGUCCAUCCAAUAAAAAACACACAGAGAUUCCCUAAACACGUGUUAUUUUAAUACCCAAUCAUUACUCGACACGUAAUACCGUAGUACAGAAGAUGCAAAAUAUCUCUUUAAUAACGUCACCUUCUUAAGUAAGUUUGGACUGAGUUUUCUUUUUAAUUUGAAUAGUUUUAAAAAAUCGAUUUAAUUCAAUUUAUUUUUCUAUUACUUUUAAGUUUUAGAUUUUUGGAUUUAUUUUAAUAAAAUUAUAUCUUAUUUUAUCAAAUAAAUAAUAAAUAUUUCUUAUAUUUUUUAUUUUUUAUUUUUUAUUUUUUAAGAAAAUGUUUUUAUAUGAAACUUUUUGACUUAUUUUUACUAUUUUAAAUAUAAAAUAUUUAUUUUUUCAUGAUAAAGAGUUAAAUUUAAUUACAAAUUAAAUAAAAAAUAAAAUACGGUUAAAUUCCAUGAUGAUGCUUUUUUUUUAAUUGUAUUUCAAAACUAUACAAGUAUUUCAGUUCGGAUUGAUUUUUUAUUUUUCAUGUUGAUGAGCAAUUAGUGACUUCGAUCAAUUAAAAAUGAAAAAUUGACUUCCUUGAUUAAUCGUACAUUUUAUCUGAUUAAUCGAUGGAUUUAAAUUUUAACUAUCUUAAUUGAAUCAACUUAAUAUAGAUCAUUUCAAUUCACUAAUUAUUUUUUCUAUUUUUCUCCUUUCAACCUUCAAGUGUAAAAAUAAUAAUAAACAAUAAUAAAAUGAUUAUUUUGAUCACGUAUUUAUAAUAAAAAGAUUUGUCUAGAGAAUAAUUAAAUUAUGAAUUUGAAUAUCUAUUCAAAUUUUGUGGGUUCGAACAUUGAAAAAAAAUUAAAACCAUCUAAAAUACGAGCUCAAGGUUCGAAUCCAUCCUUUCUAUUUUUAUAAUUAUAUUAUUUCAAUUUCAUAUAUCUUGUAAUUUAAAAUACUUAUUUUUUAAAUUUAUAGUAAUAUGUAGUACUAUAUGUAAGCAUUAAACACGAUGUUAAGUUCCAUAUAUAUAUAUGAUUUUAAUAAAGGAAAAUAUAUAAUUAUUAAAAUUAAAAUUAAAAUAAUUUAAAUAUUUUUCAAAAAUAAAUUCAUAAUUUAUGGCUGGCCUAAAAUAGCUUGGGUUAGUUACAUAUAAAUAAAGUUAUUAUUUGUCUUUGUAGAUAAAAAAUUAUUUAUUGUUAUCUACUAAAUUUAUAUCUUUGAGUAGGUUUUUAUUUUUGUAGAUUUAGACAACUAUCCAAAAAAUCAAGUUUCCGAACUAGAAGACUUAAGGUGUCGAGCACCGCCAGUAAAAGGUUUCUCAACUCGAGACCCCACCUCCUUGCAAGCAUCAUCAUGGUUGAAAUAGUCGGGAAUAGAAAAUCACGCAUAGUUGAGAUGAAUGCUAGGCAAAAGUCUCUAUCAACUGGAUGUAACUAGAUAUAGCAACAAUUCAAGGGUGUCGCUGAGGGAUUGGCAGGAGCCUACUUUUAAGCCAUUUAAAAUUUUAAGUAAAAGUAAACUUACACUUUAACCCUUUAAAAAUGAUAAAAAUUUAAUUUAAUCAUUUAAAAUUCAUAAAAAUAUGUGCUACUAAAAUAAUGAAAUUGUAUUUUUACUAUCAUAAAAAUUAUAAUUUAAUUUCGAAUCCCCUAAAAAAAUUUAAUGGCUUCGCCCUUACAACAAUAUAAAAAUGGGAAAAAAAAUCAAUUCGAUCAUCUUCCUAUUCCAACAAAAUUUUUUAUAUCUAUCAAAUAAAAAUUCAAUUUCACCUUCUUUCUUUAGGGACUUUAUAAUUUUUAUUUAUAACAUCAUUUUAUAAGAGGUUUUUAAUUUAUUUAAUUUAGUCCAUAAUGGUACAAAGUUUAUCAAUUCCUUCAAAUUAAGCCCAAAAUCACCAAUUUAUUUCUAAUGGUAAUUUUCUAAAAACUUAAUAAUUGAACAAAUUGAUAACAAGCUAGUUAAAUCAAGCACUUGUAAUCAUAAAUUUAUGAAAAUUACAAGAAAAAUGACUUAACUAACUUACAAAUUGAUGGUCGAGUGCAAGCUUUAAAAAAAUGGUGAUUUUUCUUUGUUUUUGACGGUUGAGCAGUUGAAGAAGAAAAUGAUAUGUUGUCAUCUCCACUAAGUUAACUUAUAUUCUUAGAUUAUAUUAUAAUUAAUCUUAAUCAAUUAGUUAAUUAAGAAAUUAUUAUGAUUAUUUUAAUUAUAAUUAAAUCUUAAUGGAAUUAACCAUCAUCAUCUAAUAAUUCAUAUUAAAUAAUGGUUAAAUAAUCAUUUUAACGGCUAUCUAAGUUUCUUAAUCAAAAUUCAAAAAGGUUUGAAUUUUACAAAUUAAUUUCUGAACUUUAAUUAAUUAUUUUUUAAUUAAAUUACUUAAUUGAAUUUCAAUAUAUGUUGAUAAUAAUUUCGUUAAUCUUUAUAUUUCAUCUUUACGGAUUCAAUUUAUAGAAAUUAUAUUUUGAAAUCGUAUUUUUCGACACCACGAUCUUUACCGUAGCCAUAAGGCUAUUGUUAUUAAGUUUAUUCUUUUUUAAUCGUCAUGUGCUCUCUUUUCUAAUCGCUUUGUUAUUUAAUCUUGUUUCUUAAUUCUUUUUUGAAGCAAUAAAAUGAUUGUGGUGGUCGCGUUAAUUAUUUACUCCUACGUUGCUGCUGCAGCUUAUGUGGUUGUUAGCUAACAACAUUUCAUACGGACUUUUGCUUAGGAUUCAUCCCCGCUGGUGUCUGAUUUCUUGCCUUCGACUAUUCCAUUCGUGCAGAUGUUUGUGGUGGGUUGGGAUCCUAUGUUGAGAAUCUUUUAACUGUCUAUGGCCGGCACCUCGAUUCUUCUUCCUGCAAACACUUUCCGCCAUCAUCAUUCAGUGCGUGUCUAUAUCAUGCACCAGGUGUUCCUGACACAUGGUUUGCUGAGAUCAACGAACAUGACGUUCUGUGUACUGAUGCUAACGCUGGUAUAUGUGGUAAUUCCCUAAAAAUGAAUCUUUCAGAGAAACUAUGACUAUAACAGCUAGAAUCUUAAUUUACUUUGGAAACUUUAGGUUCAGCAGCUCGAAUUUUUCAAUUUAAUGUUUUCGAAGUCAAGAUUCAAUCUAUUCCGGUUUUAGGUUCUCCAAAUAUUUACAAUUUUAGAAAAUUACGGCAUAUACCACCGUUAGCAGCAGUACACAGCGCGAUGUUCGUCGAUAUUAGCAAACCAUUGGUCGGGAACACUUACCGCCUCAUCAAAGUUGAGAACGAGCCGCAGAACAGUGCAGGAUCAGACAGAUGACAAACUUGGAUACACACCGGAUAAUUCUGGAGGAAGGUGCUUCCACGGAGAAGAAUCAGGGUGCCAAGCAUGGAGAGUAAAAAGUUUUUCGGUCAGGACCCCAACCCACAGCAAACAUCACCGCGGAUGGGAUGGUGGACGAUAGGGGCGUUUAAAAUUCGGUUAAAAUCAAAUUAACCGAUUAAAUCGAUCUAAUUCGGUUAAUCGGUCGGUUAGUAUUUUUUUGAAAGUUCAUUUAUUGUUUAAUUCGGUUCGAACCAAAUUAAACAAACUUAAUAAUUAAUAAUACAAUUUUUUAUAGUUUUAUUUCGAUUAAUUCAGCCAAAUGAAUAUUAUCAAAUUAUUUAUUUAAUAUAUUUUAUACAUUUGGUUUAAUCAAAACAACAUAUUAAAAUACAAUGGUUCUAAUACUUAUCUACAUUAAAAUAAAAAAAGGAUACAUUUAUUAAUACGAUAAUGAUAACAUUGCACUCAACCUAUAAAUAGUCUAAAAAUGUAUUGUUGGAAUAGGACUAAAUCAUCGGUUGAAUCGAGAAUUAAUUGAUAUAUGAGUCUAAGCAAUGGAUUAGACUAACCUUUGAAUGAACCACUCAGAAUCAAUAAAAAACGGAAACUAAAACAAAAAAUUUGACCAAUGAACUAAGAUAUAAAUUUAUAAAUUUUUUUAUGAAUUUUAAUUUUAAUUUAAUUAUUAUUGGACCGAAGGUUGAACCAAUGAUCUGGCUGGUUCGAGCGUCAAAACAUUGUAAAAAAGAUUAAAUUUCAAAGUAAUAGAGGGAUUAAAAUCAGAAUUAACUCAUAAAUUUCAACAUAUUAGAGGGAUUAAAACUAUAAUUAAACCAAAAAUAAGGUGGUUUAUCAACCCAGACUUUGAUAAAUCCGCCUCCCUCUCCUAACUCUUCUUGCCAACGGACUUAACAAAGCAGAACACAUUUCUCACUGUCUCUAUAUUUCUCCUCAGAUCUCUCUUUUUUUCUUUCACCCAAAUAAAGCAUUCCCUCUUUUUUCUCUCCAUUUCUCUCUCAUUUUUCCUCUUGCCAAACAGGUUUAAAAAAACAAGAAAAUGCAUUCUAUUUGCUUUCAAGCUACUGGAGUUCCUAGAUCGAAUUACAUUUUCGAUUCUUGUUCUCCUGCUUUAGCUAUAUCCAAGCCGAUCAAUCUCCGUUUCUGCGGACUUAGAAAGGAAGCCUUCGGUUUCUCUGGUUUGACUCACUCGAGUUCUGGCCGAGUUCGUUUCUCGAGUCGUGGACAUUCUAAGAAAGUCUCUGCUUCCGCUGAAAGCAACGGAAGUCCUCCGAAAUCGUUCGAUUAUGAUUUGAUUAUCAUCGGUGCCGGCGUCGGUGGACAUGGAGCUGCGUUGCAUGCCGUCGAGAAGGUAGUUUGAUCCUUUGUUUUUUUUUUUCACUUAAAUUUGAAACUAUUUAUCCUUGUAGUUUCAGCUGAAACUUACUGAGAUCAUUUUUCUGUCUUUUUUCUAGAAGUGGAUAAUUAUUCAAACUUGGCUUGCUUAUUCUGUCAUUUAAUUUUUACUUCAGAAUCUAAAGAAGCUUCCUAGUUUUUAGUUAUUAAUCGUUGGCUUACUUGCGUUAAGUGAAGAUCAAUGGUGGAUUUCCUUGUGAAUGUAUUGUUUAUAACGGUCUUUCAAGCAAUUAAUACUCGCUUUUAGAAGACAUUGAUUUCGUUUGAGUGUAAUUAUUGUGUAGUAAUAAGCGGUUUCUACUCAAUGUUUGAAAUAGAAUAUUUAUUUUUUCUGCUUUGCUUUUUGCAGGGAUUGAAAACUGCUAUUAUCGAAGGAGAUGUGGUGGGAGGAACGUGUGUGAACAGAGGUUGUGUUCCUUCGAAAGCUCUCUUGGCUGUGAGUGGUAAAAUGCGUGAACUUCAGAGUGAGCAUCACAUGAAGGCUUUGGGUUUGCAGGUAAUAGGAUUGAAUUGUUGUGAUCGGUUAUUUGAGAACUUAAGCCGAAGCACACAACAUUAGUUUGAAAGAAAUUAGCAUUUGCAUUUAAAAUUAGUUUCUAGGUUCAGCAUGUGUUUAUGGUGCAACUAAAUGACUAACAUAUAUCUCUGCUGCUGACCAACAAGAUUCCAUGUCAUGAAGUUUCUUAAGCUAUAAUAUGGCGAACUGUGGUUUCUUGACUAUUUUCACAUUCUGUAAUAACCUCUUAUCAUUUCCUUUUCUCCUGAUCUUCAUGUUACACAUGGUAGGUGUCUGCUGCUGGGUACGACAGACAGGGAGUUGCUGACCAUGCAAAUAAUCUUGCUUCGAAGAUUCGAAGCAAUUUGACUAACUCAAUGAAGGCGCUUGGAGUAGACAUAUUGACCGGUGUUGGUACCAUUGUGGUAAAGCCUAACAUAUAUAUCCUGUAACAAAAUGUGUAUUCUGCAAUUUUCUGUAAUCUCUGGUAUCCUUACAUUUUGUAUGUGUACUCAGGGUCCUCAAAAAGUGAAAUAUGGGAAGGUUGGUUUUCCUGAUAACAUAGUAACUGCAAAAAAUAUAAUCAUUGCCACGGGUUCUGUCCCCUUUGUUCCCAAGGGCAUUGAAGUUGAUGGUAUGAGAUUUUUUCAUUUUCUUCUCUUUAAUCUGUCUCUAUGGUCUACUUUUUCUUUAAAUGUUUGAUCAAAAGAAAUCUGGGUGUUCAAGACUGCUCAGGCACUUGUUAGAGUUUUACUACCCAUGAUACUCCUUUUAUUGUCUGUCAUCAUCUUCUUUUACCCUUUUCUCCCUUGAUGGAGCAAUUUGCAUGAGAUUUUUGGAUGGUCAUAUGUCAUAUAACAAAGACAUGUGCAUCAGUUUUAUUAAGUGAAAUGUGGGUAUAAAGUUUAGAUAACAAACUCCUAGUUAUUCAAUUACAGUCAAACAGAUGGAAAUUUGCAUCUGCUAAAUAUACAUGUAGUUUGAGUUUAUCAACCAGCCGGAAAUAAACUUUUUGAGUUCAACAUUUAUAGAAGGAUGUGAUCAUACAGCAAUGAUUUUCUGUUUUAUUAGUAUUCUGGGAUUUUUUUCUAAUCAUUCAGUGAUAACCUGCAGGGAAGACUGUUAUUACCAGUGACCAUGCCCUGAAAUUGGAGUCUGUUCCUGAUUGGAUUGCGAUUGUAGGAAGUGGUUAUAUUGGUCUUGAAUUCAGUGAUGUAUACACUGCACUUGGAAGUGAGGUGACACCAUGUUCUUUUUUCUUCUUCUUAUUUUAUAUGAAAUGAAUGUAGGAAUCUUGCUUUGAGGAUUAAAAUACUGUAAAUUUACGUUAUGUUUCACAUUAAGUUUCCACACCAUCUGUUUUAUCCUAGUUACAGACCUUCAUUAUGUUUUAUCCUAAUUCCUAAGUUACUGCAAUAUGUCCUUGUUCUUUUAUUCCAAGGCAACAAAGUUUACAUAACAGGUUUAUGCAGGUCACCUUUAUUGAAGCUCUAGAUCAACUUAUGCCUGGAUUUGAUCCUGAGAUCGGUAAGCUGGCUCAAAGGGUGUUGAUCAACCCUAGGAAAAUUGACUAUCAUACAGGAGUAUUUGCAACAAAGGUAAUAUAUUGUUUAGAUUUGUGUGUACUUUGGGUGGCUGUUAGAUUAAUCGAUGACUGAGUUUCCUUGGUUUUUAUUUAGAUCACUCCUGCAAAGGAUGGAAAACCUGUCAUUAUUGAGCUUAUUGAUGCCAAGACCAAGGAGCCCAAGGACACCUUGGAGGUAUGUCCAUUGUACACUUUUCAAUGGAAACUCCGGUAUCUGCCUUUUCUUGUUUGCUAGUUAUAGCAGCAUAUUUCCUCUGUAGACAAUGCCAUCAUGCACAAAAAUUGUCGGCUUAUGAUGCUUUUCCUGUUUCUUAAGUAGCAUACCUGCUUGGCAUUGCUCAAUGGCAUCUGUUAAAGUGACAUUUUUCCCCGUUCUACUCCAGGUAGAUGCAGCCUUAAUUGCAACCGGAAGGGCACCAUUCACCAAUGGUCUCGGCUUGGAGAAUGUAGGUCUUCUUGAUGAAUACUGUAAUAUGAAACUGUCCACUAAAAGGAAAUGGAUUAAAACUUUCGUAUUCUUUUUUUUUCCAGGUUAAUGUAGUAACACAAAGGGGUUUCGUGCCUGUUGAUGAGAGGAUGCGAGUAAUUGACACAAAUGGCAAUCUGGUUAGUUUUAAACUUUGUUCCGGCUAUAUAUUCUCCCACACAACUCCUAGUUAAUGCUAAUCUUGCUUUUGAGUGUUAGGUUCCUCAUUUGUACUGCAUUGGUGAUGCAAACGGUAAAAUGAUGCUUGCUCAUGCAGCAAGUGCACAAGGAAUUUCAGGUAAGUGCCUGCUAACUUUAUUCUUUACUAAUUCAAGACAAUAUUUUCGUUUAGAUCCACCUCAUUUUUUCUUCCCUUAAAACUAUCUUAUCAGUGGUGGAACAAGUGACAGGACGAGAUCAUGUGCUUAAUCACCUUAGCAUCCCCGCAGCCUGCUUCACUCACCCUGAAAUAAGUAUGGUUGGGUUAACAGAGGUAAGCCUUACAAACACCCUUGUUCUUUUUAUUCAUUAUCAAGUUUAAAUUGCUGGAUAAAAGAUUGUGUGCAUGGUGUUCAAAUUUUGACAUGCUUUUAAUUCACAGCCUCAAGCAAGGGAGAAAGCCCAGAAGGAAGGAUUUGAAGUAGGCGUUGCCAAAACAAGUUUCAAGGCUAACACGAAGGCACUUGCCGAAAAUGAAGGGGAGGGACUUGCUAAGGUUAUUUCUCUUCACACUUGUCUAAACCAAUAAGCAAAAUUGACUUGUUUUCUUUUAGUCCAUGAGGUUCUCCGUCUGUUGUAGAAAAGUUGGUCUCCCGAUUUUACAAAAAAUGCUUGAAACAAAUAUCUUAUCAAACUCUUAAAAACGAUAAAAAAAAAACACGGUUUCUCCGCAUCCUUUUCUUUUCUCUUAAACAUCAUCGUUGUCUAUCAGUACAGUUGCUAACUUCUACCCAUGUUAUAUAUCCAUGCAGUUGAUAUACAGACCCGACAAUGGCGAGAUACUCGGAGUUCAUAUAUUUGGCUUACAUGCAGCAGACCUCAUACAUGAAGCAUCAAAUGCCAUAGCUUUAGGAACACGUAUCCAGGUUUGUCUUCGGUACAAAAACCAACUCAUUUUUUUAACCACAUUCGAUCUUGUAAUUAAGACCCUUUCCUCCCAUCACGCAGGACAUAAAAUUCGCCGUUCACGCGCAUCCAACACUUUCUGAAGUUCUGGACGAACUAUUUAAAUCAGCCAAAGUGAGUUUCUGAUAUAUAUUUUUCCCGUUAACCGUUUUCAAUUUCACGGCAAGUUCAUAUUUUCCCCACAUUCAAACCAGGUUAAAGCUGCUGCUUUGAGCCACGGUCCAGUAAGUGAACCGGUUGCAGUCUAAACCCUUAAUCGACACUUUUCGGAUUAAAAAAAAAAGGUAUAAAAUUUUUGAAGAACUUUGCUUGUAUUAGGGACUAUCAAGAAACAUCACGGAGGAAUUUACUUAUAAAUCUAAGAUGAUCGUUGUGCCCGAAGCUUUUUACAACAUAGUCUCGUCGUUUGUUAAGUUAUUUUCAAAAGCAAUGCAGAUAUAGCUGUGCCGAUAUUUUUAUUUAUCCAUUUUGGAAAAUUGUAUUCCUUGAUGUUCGUGAAAUAAAUUAUACUUAAAUUUUUUAUUUCAUUUUGAAAGGAUUUUUGCAUUUACAAUUUAUUUGAAUAUCAUGUCUUUGCAAAUUAAUUCUAGCCUUCUUAACACGUGAUUUAACCUAAUGCCUGCAUUCAUGCCAUGAACAAACGAAAUGCACAAUUCUACCAAGUGGUUCUAAAUCUAAUUUAUGUCGGUGAACAAAUGAAAUGCUUUGAAAAGCUGGUGGUCAAGCUAUUGUUUUGCUUCAAUUGGUUUUUUGUUCUUUCAGUUGAUUUGUAUUGAUUUUUAAAUUAACUGAUUCAAUGAUUUUCGUCAUUCAAUACUCUAAUCAAUUUCUAAUUCAAUUCAAAUAAUUAUUAUAUCGAGAAAUCAACAAAAACUGUUUUGCUUCAUGGCCUGCGACUAACCAUAAAUGUCAAUUCUCUAUAUUACAAUGUACAAUGCACAAGAUAUAAGUUGAAUUAGAGUUGCUGGUUGCAAUAGUAAUAAGAUAUAUUGUAGUAAGAGGGUGUGAGUUUAAAUCCUAAAGAUACAUUGUUAGAUGAAAAAUUUACGAACCCAAUAAGAUAAUAAAAAAGACAAUCACAAAUAUGAAAAGAAUUAAUUUUUAUCUAAAUAUUAUUAGAAAAAGCAACCAUAUAACCUUAAAAGAUUAAUCACAUUAAAAUAAUCAUGAAAAAUACCUUAAUCAUAAAAUUCAUUACAACUCACAAUUCAUUAACUCAAAUCAUUUUUUCAAAUUGAUUCUAAAAUUCAAACAACUCAAUUUUUACUAUCUAAUUUGAAAUUUAUUUUUUUCAAAUUUCUUAACUAUGUUAUUAAGUCAAACUGAUUAAUUCCCAAUCCUAUCAAUACAAUACAUCAUAGUCAUUCAUUUUAUUAAAAAUACAUCUUAAUUGAUUUUUGCUUGAUUCGACUGGUUUUUACUCCGAUUCAAUCUCUCUCCAAUUUUAUAAUAUUGGUUAAACUGAUCUUCAAUUUUCGACUCAACAACUUCAACCGACGCCCCUAUUUAGAAAUGAAAUUUAUAUAUCCACUAAAAUUGAAGUGUAAACCAAACAUCAUGAUCAUCCACAGCUAAAAGAACCCAAAUUCCAAUGCCAAUUCAAUGAAUUGGUACUUUUAACAUUAAAAAGAAAACAGUAGAUAAACUCGAAACAUGUUCUCAAUAUUGAUAAGCUCAAAGCUUCAAAUAUUUUAUAACAAAGAUAAUCAUCAAAAUAGUGCUAAUGUUGAAAAAAACAAAACCCUAAUUUCCAUUGAAACAAACAAAACAACCAUAAUUAGAAAACCCUAACCCAGGCUAGAAUUUUCUUUUACCCCACUAAAAGCCUACUCUUCUUCAUUGGCUGAUUCUCCAUUCUUCUUGUUGUGUUUCCUUGCAUACCUUUGGUUCCUCAAGAACUUAGGAUCCAUCUAUAAAUGAAAAAAAAAUACAAUCUUUUAUUAAAAAAUUUGAGGGAAAUCAAGCAAACUUCACAUAAAUCGAUUAAAAAAAGCUAAAUACAUACCCCUUUGGUGGAAGUGUGGCGGUGCCUCUUGGGUUUCUUGAUUCCAUUCUUGUGAGCCUUGUAAGAUUGGUUGUGAGCCGUGUGAUUCUUUGACUUCGCCAUUACUGCAAAACCCCAAAUCCAAAAACAAAGAAGAUGGUGUUAACUUGAUUUUUGUAGAGAAAUUAAUGCUUUUAUUUUUUCACAUUAAAUUGCAAUAAGAAGCUUAGCAGAGUAGAGAGAAGCUGCGGCACUCACUGGGUUUUUUGAAUGGUGAAAAGAAAUAAAAGGAAUAAAUUUUUGCCCCUUUUAUUUGGAAAAAAGAUUUGAAACCCUAGUUUUUUAUGUUUAAUAACGAAAUUGCCCUCAAUUUUUUGGGCUUAUUUUUUAUGUUUAUUAAGCUUUUCAUUUGAAGCCCAAACAUUAUAGGCCGAUACAAAUAUUGAAGCAAUUCAAUCUUCCUCCUAGCGGUUGAAUUAAUUGGACCAAAUCGGAUUCUAAUGACCAUGCCUGUAAUCAGGGGCGGCAGGGGUCGGCCCUUCCCUAGAAUGGGAAAAAUGUCACAUUAGUCCCUUUAAAUUUUAUAAAAUUAUAAUUUAGUAAAUGAUUACAAUACAUUUCAGUCAUUUAAAAUGAUAAAUUUUUAAUUUAAUCCUUUAAAAAUUAUAAUGGUAUAAGCUAAUGUAAUUAUAAAAUUACAUUUUAAUUCUUAUAAAAUUACAUAACCCAAUUUUAUCCCAAAAAUAAUUUCUAGCUUUGCCCCCACCUAUAAUCCUUUCUAUAUCAUUAUAAUAUUAAGAAAAGAAGAAAGAUAAAAUUGAUAAGAUUUAAACUUGUACGCAAAUUGAACAAAGUUUUGCUUGUUGAUAGAAUCUUAUUCUAGUUGUCAUUUCUCACUUAUGUUUAUUAUUUUAAUCCCUACCCUUUUUUUGCAUAUUUAAAAUUCAGCCCCUCCACUUUUAAUCUAAUAAAUUUAAUCUCUUUGCUCUUUUGAUUUAAUGAUAAAAAUUCAAUUGAUAACAUGUAAAAUGAAUUCCAUAAAACAUAAAUACAAGGACUAAAUUCUUAAUUAUUUAAAAAAAAAACUUAUGACAUAUUUUAAUCAUAUUAAGAAUACUUGAAUAUCUAAAUUUGAGUAGAGAUAACAAUGGAUAGUACAGAUUCAAAUAUUUACGGAUAUUCGAUUGGUAAUUUUUGGAUUCAAAGAAAAGGAGGAAAGUUUACUUUUACAUAUAACAUAUUAUUUUAUUUAUUUUACUUAAUUCCAAAAAUAACUUACUUCAAAUAUAUAACUGAAAAUUUAAUAAAAUCAUAUUUUAUGAUUUCGAUUUUUUGUUAUUAUUCUUACUUAGAUCUGAUUCAAAAAUCUGUUGAACUCAAUAUUGCUAGUGAUUGCCAAAGAUAUAUACAAGCAGACGUGGCAUGUCAAGUUUAAUAAUUAUUUUCAUUUUCAUUUUCAUAUUAUAAUGUUUUUAUUUUUAUCUAGAGUUUAAACCUAAAAUUAAUAAUAUUUUUUUGAAAAUUAAGAAUUUAGUGUCUAUACUUUUUCAGAUUUUAAAAUUCAUAUUCAAUUGUUAAUAUUAUUAAAUUCAAGUUAAUUACAAAGUCAUUUAAUUACAUAGCUGCCAAGUAUGUAUUUUUUUUAUUUGUAAUAUAUUUUAACAGAAAAAGAACGGUGUUGACCAUUGGACUUUAAUCUUAAAAUCUUAAAAGUAGAGAAAAUAAAUUUCAUAAAAUAUAAAUACAUGAACUAAAUUCCUAAUUUUCAAAAGAUAUAAAAACUUAUGAAACUAUUUAUUUAUAAAAAAUUUAAUAAUUUAAUUCACUAACAAAUGACCAUGCGUGUGGCUAUGUAUGUUAAAAAAGAACAUUAAGCAAACACUCAAUUUGUAGGUUUAGGAUAUUAUCAUGUUUACUUAUAAAAAGAAAAAAAAGCCACAUAAAUUCGUUUAACAGUGUAUAAAAAUACGAUUAAAUUUAAUUAUUAAUAAACUAUUUUUUGAAAAAAAAAAAGGAAAGAUAAGAUAGGAAUUGAUGAAAAUAAGCAGACAAGACUGAAGAGUCAAGAGUGCCAUUUCUGUACGUCACUUAAUUAUUAUUAUUAUUUUAAGGAUAAGAAUGUUCUAUUUAUUAAUUAUUAUAUAAUUUAUAUUUUUUUUUAUGUGACUAUUAUUGAAAUCUCAAUUCCCCAAAUUUCAAUUCAAAACAUUUAGUUUUAUCAACUUCCACCUAAUUGAAAGGAAAAUGAUGAUACCGUCUAAAUUGAUUUUAGUUCCACAAAGGGUUAAUAACACCUUAUGUCCUCAAUUUAUGGUUUGAAUUUUAAUUUAAUUUCUCAAGUUUGAAAUGUUUAAUUUGAGUUCUUAAAAUGUAAAUAUUGUAUUAAUCAGAUUCUUUCAUCAACUCGAAUGUAAUAUGAAACAUAUUUAAACCACGUAAAUCAAAAUUUUAAAAUAUAUAUAUAUCAAUUACAUAGACAAUUUGUGUCUAAUGCAUUAAAAAAAAUAGAUAUCGUCAAUCUUAACAAAUCUAAGAUAGCUCUAUGUAUUUAAUACAAUAAAUUCCAGUUGUUUACGAUAAAUAUAAAUAAUUGGUUAGACAUCGGGAAUCCAAUUAAAGUCUGAAUUGGGGAUGUUUAACCCUAAAAUAAAUGUUGGAUAAGUUAAUUCAAUCUCAUCCUAAAAUUGUUCAGAUUUUCUAGGGUAGUUAAAGACCCAAUGUUGGUCCCAUUUAGAACCAAUCGUUAGCCAGUCUUUUGCAUGCAAAUUGUCAAGUGUCACAUUUGGGGUGUCAAUUUAAAACCUAAUUAUUUAAACCCCACAAUAUCCAUAAAAUACAUGUUGCUUUGAAUUUAGCAAGAAAACAGCUGGGAUUGGCUGCCAAUGUCUGCAAACCCAUACCUGAUACCUUCAUAUCACCUAUUAUCUCACAAAUAUUUUAUACAAAUUUUAAAUGUUAUUUUAUAGUUUCAUUAUUUUUUAUCAAAAUAUAAUUUUUUAUUGAUUAAUUUGUAAAUUUAUUAUUUUAAAAGGACCAAACUAAAAAAAAUCAUUCUUAGAAAGACUAAAAUCCUACCACCCCGCAGCUUCACAGAAUAUUCACAAUAUGAGUUUAAAAAACUAUGUAAAAAUAUGGCAAAAUACCAUUAAAAGUAAUUUUUUAAUAAAUUUACUGAAAUGAGCCCGGUAAAUAAUUAAUUACCGGAAUGAUCCAAUUCCUCGAAAGCGCGUCCACGUCAGCGCGUUGUCAGGGGACGUUGCAGGAAAACGCUUCCUCAAGGAAGCGCUUUGUCCACGUGGGCAGAAAGCGCGCCCUCAAGAACGCGUUUUCUUGCCACGUCAACGCUCCCUUGGGGAUGCGUUUUGCCCGCGCGUGAACAGUAGCAACAACUGCUUUUUUGACCGUUGGUGUCCCCCCAACAGUAAAAAAAAAACUAUAAAAAUCCCCCUUUCAUUUUUUUCACAACUUAAUCAUUUCUCUCAAUUUCUCUCUAAUAUUCUCUCAAUUUCCUCUCAAAUUCCUAUUUUAAAAAGCUUUAAUUUUUUAAUUAUUUUUAAAAAAAAUUUGAAUUUUUUUUAAAUCGUAAAAAUUUGUACGAAUUUAGCAAUGGCCGGAGAAUUAAUUCGUCUUGAUGACAAGCACAUAUCCAUCGAACAAAUGAAAAUGGUAAGUGUUAAAUUUAAUUUUUAAAUAUUAUUUAAUAUUUUUUUAUUUAUGCAAUUUUAAAUAAUUAUUAUUUAUUUUAUUAUUUUUUAUAAAAGUCUGUUGAUCGGAUAUUGCAAUGCUAUAUCCGUAAUAUGCAUGGUCCUCCAUCACCGUUGGUAGAGAAUUACCUGCAGGAAGCAGGUUUUUGGCACGUGGCGACGGUAGACCAGGGAUGCAAAUUGAACCCGAAACUUAUCAGUGCGUUGAUUAAGAGGUAGAGACCUGAGACGCACAUAUUCCAUCUUUCAUGUGGAGAGUGUACUAUCACUUUGGAAUAUGUGAAUUUACAAUUGGGAUUACCGGUGGACGAGUACGCAACCGGGUCUGUUCAAUCUGGUGAUUGGGGAGCGGUAUGCUAUGAGCUUUUGGGCACUAUUCCAGAGAAUAUUAACAGAGGUCGGAUCGAGAUGGGCUGGUUACAAGACAUAUUCCCAAAUCCGGAUGAUGAUUCUACCGAACUAGAAAGAAUCCGAUAUGCUCGAGCAUACAUUCUUUAGAUAAUUAGAGGUUACCUGAUGCCGGACUUGUCACGGAACCUUGUACAUCUAAGAUGGCUGCUGAAACUCAUUGAUUUUAGAGCAAUUGUGAAUUUGGUUGGGGGUCUGCCGUGUUGGCAACAUUGUACCGGGAGAUGUGCGAGGAGACGCGACCGAAUAAAGCGAAAAUUGGAGGUUGCCUGUCACUACUGCAGUCAUGGGCACAGUUUUGCUUUCCAUUUUUACGUCCUCGAGUGGACCACCCAUAUACAUUCCCACUCAUAACGAGGUAAAUUUUAUAUUAGAUUUUACAAUUAUUACGUAUCUCUCUAACACUUGACACCACUGCCAUAUUUCUUUAUAUAAAGCGUCCUAUCCACUAUACAUUUUCUCCAAUGCCUUCUUCUUAGCUAUCCAAGCCUUGCGGUAAGAGAGCGUAUACCCCAUUUGGCUACAAAUAUUGACAAUUAAUACCGGUACUGAAGUCUUGGGAUCUGCCUUCACCGUGGGUAGUAUCAAGCUAGCUAACAUAGCUGAAUCCAUCUUGGGAUGGUAUUGUGAAAUACCUAUAAACGGAAGACAUUAAAUAAUGCAACAUUACAUAAUAACAGUAUUAUUCAGCAACCCUAAAUACUGUACCUGCAGCACAUGUAUGUGGACAUUUGUACUUUUUUUAUCUCCCACAACCUUGUCCUUUUCCUCAACGAGGCGUAGAUUUUCCAUGAACAUGUAUCGUCUUGUACUGCACACUUCCCUCAAACUUAUCAGCUUUGGAUUUAACCACGUGGUAGUUAACGCCGUUAUUGAUGAUAUGUUGUUUCAAAGCACCAAUAAAACUAUCUUUGUUGGAAAACUGAUUACGAACUUCAAAUUCACCAGAAUCCAGUACCAAACUUGUACGAUCACGCAACCGGUGUGGUAGAUUUGGAAACUCCAACGCAUCAUCUGCAAACAGAUCGACAUUAUGCAUGUGGGUUGGAGGUGAGUAUGCCCUGAAUCGUGAAUUUUCUUCUUCAUCUGAACCCCCUUCAACAUCUUCAGGUUCGGUUGGAAUAGGCUCCGGUUUAGAAAAUAAUGCAACUUCUGCACCAUCGGGCACGGGCUCUCAAGGUGGAUCCACAUCGGAGUCAUCUUCUAACCCACUAUUAUCUGCAACGUACGAGGUCCCCUCACCGAUGGACGUUGUAGGGAGUACAUCAUCCCUUCUGCUGGGCGUUUCAUAAUGUCUCCAAUUGGAUGUAAAUUGCCAACCAUUAGAAGUUGAUGUUGUUUCCAGUACGUAUUUUCAGCAUCAAACAUUGACCCACAGAGGUACAUGUCCCAUCCACCGACAGAGUGUCUUGUAAGAGAUGUGCAUUCCAUAUCGCUACCAAAUAUGGGCUAUUCCAUGUUUUGUAACCUACUAACCGAGUGUCAGGCAGGGGUCGUGUAUACCUCUCGAACAGCAGUCGCAAGUACAUCAUUUGGCGAUGUAAAUUGUACAUAUAGCUCAAUAUAAGGUGCUCCAUUAGCAAAAUGAGUUUGCACCAUUGCCUCCAAGCUAUCGAACGAGUCAUAUGUCACCAGAUCAACAGAAUAAUAAAAUCGAUACGUAAUAGACAAAACUUUCAUUGGCGUCGUUCCGAAUAUUUUACGCCUAAUUCUUUUACGAAGUUCUGUCAAAUCUAUAUUCUGGUUAAAAACCAAUCGCACUGUAUUCUCCGAUAAAAAAACACCGUUCUCGGUGUGGCAAACCUCACUAUCAUAGUAAAUAACAGCACUAAUACGUUCUCUCAUAUUUAAUUUCUAUCAUUCUUAGCCUCUCUAAAUUAUUUUUGCUGUAACUUAUGCAAUCUGAGAAAAAUUUUUGCCUCAUUUAUAGCCUCAGGCCAAACAUGCGUUACUGUAGCAAAAGCGCGUCCACGUGGGAGCGAUUUCAGUACUUUUGCUGACAAAGCAUCUUGCUUAAAGCGUUUUUGACACUAUUUACUCAGAAACGUCUACUCAAAAUUAUUUUUUCAGGAGCUACUGUAGCAAAAGCGCGUCCACGUAGGAGCAUUUCAGUACUUUUGCUGACAAUGCAUCCUGCUUAAAGUUUUUUUGACACUAUUUGCUCAAAAACGUCUACUCGAAAUUAUUUUUUCAGGAGCUACUGUAGCAAAAACGCGUCCAAGUGAGAGCGAUUUCCUUUAAAAAAAUUUAUUAAAUUACUCAAGCAACCCUAAACCCUAAUUUAAUUAAUUUUUUCUUAGAAAAACAAUAAACACGAAACCUAAUCCAAUUUUGAAAAAAUUAUAAUUAAUUUAAUUGAGAAAUCCUAAACACUAAUCCCUUAUUUAUUUAAUUUAUUCUCUAAAACCCUAAACCUAAAAACCCUAAAAUCUUAACCCUAACCCUAAACCCUAACGACAGGGUAAAACGCUUCCUUGAAGAAGCGUUUUCCUGCUUCGUCCAUUGACAACACGCUGACGUGGAUGCGUUUUUGAGAAAAUAGGGCCAUUCCAAUAAUUAAUUAUUUACAGGGCCCAUUUCGGUAAAUUUUUCUAAAAAAGGGCUUUUAUAUGUAUUUUCCCCGUAAAAAUAUAUAUUUAUUAAAAUUUAUCUAUGAACCAUACAUCUUAGAUUCAAAAUGUGUAUAUAUAUUUUUUAUGUUAUAUGAAAAUAUAAAAAAAGAGGAAUACAUUCCUAAUAUAAUAUAAAUUAUUUUGCAUAUAAUGAUAUUUUAAUAUUUUUUAAUUAAAUUGGUGUCCACUUGACUCAUGACACUAAAUCAGGAGUUAAAAGUAUAUCAUAUGUUUUAUUUUGGACUAGACCUAUCCAAAGGCUAUUUUCAUCUACCCAAACUUGAAAGAAAAAACUAGACUCGAAAGAGUAAAAAAAUAAUAUUGUGAAUCUCUUGAACUAUCGCAUGUUAAUAUAUUAAUUGGUACAUGAGUUUGACUUCAAUAUUCAAUUUGGGAUUUAAUUAUUUUUUGUCCUAAUUUGGUACCCAAGUUUGUUUCAAUGCGUACUUUGAUACCUAAGGGUUUUGUUUUUCUUUUCUCAAUUAAGUACCUUUUAUUUAUUUAUUAGAGUACAUGCGUAAAACAUUCAUUGGAUUGUUUGAUUUAUGUACCAAAUUGAACACUAAAAUCAAAAUUAAGUACAAAAUUGAUUGUCGAAGCUAAUUUCAGCUACUAAACGGUAUAUUAACCCAAGUAUUGCUAAUUGGUUUUGUUUUAGAAUCUUUAUGGCAGUAAUAUAUGGAUUUUUUGUACAUGGAAUGAGAAAAUUCGAAUUGUUUUCUUUGGAUUUAUGCCCUUUUUAACUUGCUUUAAAAAAAAAAAAAGAAUUGAGUUGGAAUAUCCACUUUCGUCCUUGCAUUUGACCAAAAUUAACUCAAUUUUGAUUAAUACAAUGAAUAUGAUUUUUUUCCUUACAAGUUAAAGUGCAUUUAAUUCUUUAAACAUGUCCAAAUGUGCAUAUGUUUGGUUAACUUUUUUCAACUUUGGUGGGUUUUUUUUUAAUAAAACCUGAAUUUUCUAGAAAUUACCUCAUUUUCACAUGUUCAAAAGUACAAGAAGAGAAAGUAGAAGACAUUUGACAAGUUAAAAAGAUUUGGAAAUAUGUGUUGGAUAUUAAUUUUUAAAGAUAAUAGUAUGAUUUUUUAAGUUAUAAUAAUUUUAAUAGAAUUAAUUAAUAAUAUUAAUUAGCGUUGAUAAGAAUUUACAAUGAAAUUAAUAUUAAAAAAGAAUAAUCCCUUAAUAGUAUUGGAAUAUUUGACAUCACUAACCAUAUAAAUUGUUGGGGUUUUUUAGGUGUCUAAUUUCAAUGACUGAAAAAUAACUUUGAAUUUUCUUUUUUCUUUUAUUUUUUAAAUGUAGAUAUAUUUGGUUGGCAAUCAAGUUGCAAGUGCUGGUUGAUGUUGUUGUAGACAUUAUGGUCCACAAGGGUGCCUUUCAUCCUUGGGAAAGCAAGAGGAUGAUCAUGAUUAACAUCAAUUUAGAUAUUUGAUUUAUUUUAUUUUUUACAUUUUGAUUGAAUAAUAGUUAGAUAUGAAUACUUAAAUUAUUAUCUGUAAUGAAUUUGUAAAUAAUAAUUCUCAAAUAAGAAUAAUUUUUUUUUAAAAAAAUUGGGUGUUAGAAUUAAAUUGUAUUAUAAGAGCUAAAAUGUAAUUUCAUCAUUUAAUAGUUUAUAUCUUUAUAAUGCUUUUAAACAACAAAAUUAAUUUUUAUUUUUAUUUUACCAUUUACUAACAUAAAAAUUUACAAAAUUUAAAGGAGGAAUAGUUAAAAUUUCCAUUUAAGAGCCUUAUUCCCACAUAUGUUUGAAUCUAAUUUACUUUUGCAAAUGGGUUUAUAUUUAGGUAUCCAUUAUCCAUAUUUAUUAUAUUUAUGGAUAAUGAAUUUAGAUAUCCAAAUCCAUUAUUCAUUUUACUUUUUAAAUCUUUUAUUAAUAUAUAAAGUAUAUUAUAAAAAAAGAUUAGGUCAUUUGAAAAAGAAUAAAUAAAUUAAAGCAUUUUUAAUACAAAAAUUUUAACUCUGACCCCUGAAUUUUAUAAUCUUAUUCCAGGCUCCCAAAUAAAAUUUAUGAUAUCACGCUUGCACAUAAUCAAUAUAAGAGAGAUGAUCUAAUAUUACAUAUUUAAAUAUUUAAAUGGAAUUAAUUUAAGAUACCAUCCAAUAUGUAUAAAUUGGAUUUGGUAAUCCACGUUGGUUAUAUUCAACUGUGCGCUAUUCUCCAUACCGUGGUCCAUGGGCAUAAAUGAAAUAAAAAGAGCAGUCCAUUAAUGUAAAACUAAAAGGGUCUAUAAUUCCACACAACAAACCUCUGAGCAGUUGAAAAUCUCAAAUUAAUGCUACAUGAAACUUUGUAAAGAUCAUCUUUUACUGACGUGACUUAAAUUUAUAUUAGAUUUGAUAAUGCGAGAAAAAACACAUGUAAUUUCCAGCGAGGUAAAAGAAAACCCAGUAUAAUUAAUUAAUUUUAAAAUCCAAAAACAUUUCAUAUAUAUAUAUAUAUAUAUUAAUGUGUUUAAACUAAAUUAUACGCAUGAAUUCAUAAUCGUAGGUUAAUUGGUAUUAUGUCUUUUCAUAAUUUUCUUCAACUUUAUGGGUAUACGUCACCAACCAUAUCCAGAAAAUAUUUGAUCAAGUCUUAAAAUACUACUUUCAUGACAUGAAUAAUUGAUAUAUUGAACCCACCUUAAACCUAUUCUUUUUAUACAACUAUAGUAAAUUAAUUGGAUUAAAUUUAAAGUUACGUCAGGUUUAGUAAUAUUAUCCAAUUAUGAUAAAUUAAAGUAGUGAAAACUUUUCAAUUUUUAUAUAAAAAAUUUGAACUUCUUAACCUAUGUAAAUUUUCAGAACUUUCGAAAAUAAAGUCUAUGAGAAAAUUUAAUGUUUUAUUAGGUAAGAAUGGAAACUACAUAUUUAUUAAUAACUAAAAAUAUAUUGACCCUAAAAGAUAACUAACCCAAAGACAAAUUGGGAUCAUUCAGUAAUUACACCAAAUGUCACCAAUUGUUGUGAUUAUUUAGUAAUUAUAGAGGGAAAACUUAUUUUAUUUUUACGAGAUAUUUUGAUAUUCAAUAGUCAUAAUGAAUCAUGAUUAAAUUCUAAAUGAGGAGUAAAUUCUCCGCUUUCUCAUUUUUUUUUCUCCAUUCUUAAUAUUCAAAAAUAACUCUCUAAAAAUAAUAAAAUUGUGGAUUCAUCUUUUUAAAAUUUCCAUAAUCACAAGGUAACGUAAACCAUUCUAAAAACUCAUACAUCAUUUUCAAUUCUCUUACAACUUUUUGAAUAUCCAAAUUUGUGUUUUAUAUUAAUUUACUCACACACAUCGCUUUCUAUAUAACCAAAAACAAGAGCAUAAUUAAUUCCUAUAAAUUACCUCAUAAUUUAAUAUGUAUAACACGAAAAGCUAAGGCUAGAAAAGGGAUUCAUUUUGGAUGUAUUAUAAAAAUUCAUAACCCUAUAAUAAGUAGUCUUCAUUUGCUUUUAUGACCUCAACUAAGCAAGAAAGUAAAUACCCCUAAAUCUCAGUCAUUGAAAGUGCGAUUAACAUGUCUAAGUUCAGACAUAAAAAGUAGAAAAUUAAAAGAUUCUUUGGCCCGUGACCCAUUCUCGUAAAAUUCACCUAGAAAUACUUGUAUUACGACUUAAUUAUAUUUUGUUCUCUUUAUUUACAAAUAUAUAUUUAAAAAGUAAACUGACCAUUUCUAUUAACAAUUUUAACCCUUUGUACUAUUAAAAAUUAACGUGUCGCUAGGGGGUAAAAUGGAAAAUUUGUUAUUUAGGCCCCUUUAUAAUUUAUAAGAUUUUAAAUUAAUAAUGAUAAAAUUACACUUUAACCUCCCAAAAAACGAUAAAAAUUAUAACGAUAUAAGCUAUUAAACGGUGAAAUUGUAUUAUUAUUUUUUAAUAUUAUAGUAAAAUUGAAUUAUGUUCAGAUGAUUUGGAUUUAUGAAUUGAAUUUUUUGGAUCAAAUCAUUUCAAUUUAUUUAAAUGAAUAAGUUUAAAAUUUAAAAUUAAAAUAAUUUUACAAUUUAAUAUAUUAAAAAAAUAUUACUCGUUUGGCCUGGUAGGUAUGGUAAAUAUAAAUGGAUGAUGAAUAAAAUAUAUAUUUUAAUUUCAACCUGACUAAGUCAAAUUUCAAUCCGAAUUAUAAAUGGUAAUAUAUUAAUAAAGAAAUGAAUUAUUUAACUAAAUUGCCCAUUCCAGCUGAAGAAAACACAAAUUCUGACAGUGGCAUAGCUCGUGAGCAUCUCAAGGCUCUAACAACUAACUAGUAUAUAGUUAUCCCCCACUCCGCUUUAUAUUUUGCUUUUUCUUUUUCAUAUUGUAUGUUACACGUCUAAAUAAAGCAAAUAGUUGAUGUGGGUUAUUGAAUCGGGAUUUAUUGGAAUGCAUGCAGGGUUUUCACUCUUGAAUCAAAUCAUACAUAACUCGUUUAGCUUACUUCUUGUCUCACGCUACAGUAUCAUUACAGUAUCUAAUCUCACCGUCACUGCUGUUUUUACACUAAUAGCAGGUAAACACACCGCCCAUCCAAACUCACAAUUGGUUCCACCAUCUAUCCUUUGUAUCGGUUUUAUUUUAGUUAUAGAUAUAUUUGUAAAACCAAAAAAAGAGUAAUUAUUAAAAUAUUUGAAAAUAUAUUUUAAAAGAUAACUGCAGAAUAGAGUUGAACUUAAAGCUAGAUUCUCUUUUUUCUGAAACAGCGAAAAGCUUUCAUGGUAUUUUUAGCUUUAGCUUUCAUUGACGUGGAAAUCCAAUCAAUAAACCCCGAAACCUUUUUCACUUCUAUAUAACACCAUUCAGCCCCUCACCCAUUUCACUCACAGAACAACCUUUCAAAAACAUGUCUAGAACGACAAAACCUGAUUCUCUUACACUUCUCCUACUGCUUCUCAUUGCUAUCCUCUCCAUUUCUUCGGUGGAGCCUGGCCGACCGCCUUUCGCCUGCGACCCGAGAAACGGGUUGACGAGGAGUUUACGGUUUUGCCGGACGAAUUUACCUAUCCACGUGAGGGUUAGGGACUUGUUAGGGAGGUUGACGCUGCCGGAGAAGAUAAGGUUAUUGGUUAACAAUGCGAUAGAUGUGCCCAGGCUUGGGAUUCGAGGGUACGAGUGGUGGUCCGAGGCGCUUCAUGGGGUGUCCAAUGUGGGUCCCGGGACUAAGUUCGGUGGUUCGUUCCCGGGUGCCACCAGCUUCCCUCAAGUUAUCACCACGGCCGCUUCGUUUAACGAAUCGCUAUGGGAACGUAUCGGACAGGUAAAAUAUUGAACUUGUUUCAACAAUUUUAAUUUAUCUUUAUUCCUAAUAACAAAAUAAACCAACCCAAUUAAAAGGAUGGUAAGCUUUUGUCACUUUGUCAGUUCAUUUCUUUAACUUAUAUAGGCCCAUGAUUUUGGACGAAAGCGUAUAAAAUAAAGAACAUAUGUACAAAACGAAAGACUAUUGAAAUAUAAUUUUAUCUCAUUCAUAUUUUAAUCCCAAAACUCAAUUCUUUUUUCUUUAACUAAGCGUAAAGUUGGACAAAAAGUGUAACAUUAAAAACAAAUAAAAGGGUUAUUAAAUUAUAGAUAUUGAAAAGAAACGUACUUAAUAAGUAUUGUUACAAGUGGUAAGCUUUCUUUCUCUUAAUUUGCUGUUCUUUAUUCCUGUCUAUUUUGUCUGUAUCUUAAAAUUUCCAUGAAUGAGCUUUCAAAGGCCAACCAUUGGAACUGAAAUUUUCCAAAUUAAAAGUUGUGUGAAAGUGACUUUUAAGGUCAAUAACAUAUUUCCAAUACUUGGAUCCAAUUUGAACUACAUGUCGAUUUACGACCUCAAUAAUAAAUUUAUUUUUCUGUCAAAUUAUCAUUCACUAUACUUAUUUUUUUCUUUUUUAAUUAAUACAUAGUAGUUAACAAAAUUUGAACCUAACCCGAAUUUUAAAGAAUAAAAAAUUGAUUCUAUAACUUGUUUAAAACUAAUAAUCCUAUCUUAAAUAGAAUUAUUUGUGGUAUAAAAGCGGGUUGAUAUGUCGGUUUGAAUAUAGGGAUUGAACUGAUUUUCAAAUAAAUAAUUCAAAAUCGAUAAAAAAUUAGAAAUUGAGACAAAAAAGUCCACGAUUAAAUUAGUUUUAUAAAAUUUUAACUAUGGACCGACAAUUAAAUUAAGAAUAAAUUGUCCGACCAAUUUAUUUGACGGUGGAUCCGGUUAUUACAACCUUGCUUUCUACUGUUUGAUAAAUUAUAUACUGUUGGGAUGACUGCAGGUGGUUUCGGAUGAAGCAAGAGCAAUGUAUAAUGGAGGAAUGGCUGGUUUGACAUAUUGGAGUCCCAACGUGAACAUAUUCCGAGACCCACGGUGGGGCCGAGGCCAAGAAACUCCCGGCGAAGACCCUGUUCUCGCCGGAAAAUAUGCGGCCAGCUACGUCAGGGGCCUCCAAAGUGCCACCGGGAACCGCCUUAAAGUUGCCGCCUGCUGUAAACAUUACACUGCUUAUGAUCUUGAUAAUUGGAAGGGUGUGGAUCGAUUCCAUUUCAAUGCUAGGGUAAGAAACUUAGAGCCCAACUAUUUUUUUACUAGCUUUUGUAGAUCAAAUAAAUUAGGUUAAGAUAAGCUUCAAAUCCUUUACUUCUUUUUACUUUAUACAUUUUAAAGUUAAGAUCUAAUCGAUAACAUUUACAUUUUUUCUGUUAAAUUUAUCGGUAUGAUAUUUUGAAAUAAAGAAAAAUGGUCACUUAAUAACUGUGUAACAAAGAAUGAUAUGGACUUGAAUUUAACACAAAAAUUUUAUAAGUGCUAACAAUUAGACUUAUAUUUUUUAUUUUGAAAAAUAGGGGUUAAAUUUUUAAAAAUAAAUAGUAGAUGACUAAAUUCCAAAUAUACAAAGUCUAUAAGGACUUCUACCAUAUUUUAACCAAUAAUCUAAUUAAAUAAUUUGUCUAACCUCUAAACCAUACAAGGGCGUCUCUCGGCUAAGUCCCUAAGAUGGGAAAAUAGCACUUUACCUCUCAAUUAAUAAAAUUUUAAUUUAAUCCUUUAUAAAAUUAUAAUAAUACCAAUUAAUAUAACAAUGAAAAUACUUUUUAAUAAUCAUAAAAAUACAUCUAUGCCUCCAAUUCUUUUUUUCUUCCCCUAAAAGCAUAUAAAAAGUACAUAGUAACUGUUUGGUGUUUCGUCCCUUGGAUAAAAUGGUGUAAUCUCACUUUUAGUCCUUCUAAAAAUUAAUAAUUAAAUUUAAGUUUUUUUAUCUAGCAUAAAACUUCUAACUUUGCCCCCAAACAAUUUAUAUUUUUAUGUUGAUGUCCCUAAAAAAAAAAAACCUUGCUUCACCUCUGACUCAAAGUUUAAUUCAAGCUCGACAAAGUUUCAAUUAUUUUAAGUUCAAGUCCGAUUCGAGAUAAUAAAAAAAAUCCAACUCUCGGAAUCACUCCAUCAAGUUAAAUUAAACUCAAGGAAAAAUAAGUUUGAUAACAUAUAAAAAAAUGGAUAAAUGAAUGCAGGUUAGCAAACAAGACCUGGCAGAUACAUAUAAUGUACCGUUCAAAGCAUGUGUAGUGGAAGGGAAAGUUGCAAGUGUUAUGUGUUCUUACAAUCAAGUCAAUGGCAAGCCCACUUGUGCUGACCCAGACUUACUUAAAGGCACCAUUCGUGGCCAAUGGCACCUUAAUGGGUUCGUUCCUAUCAUACAUACAUACAUACAUACAUACAUACUGUGUUUCUGAUGUUUGAUUUCAUUUGCAUUAGGUAUAUUGUAUCAGAUUGUGAUUCGGUUGGUGUAAUGUAUGAUACUCAACAUUUCACUGUUACACCAGAAGAGUCUGCUGCAGCUACUAUUAAAGCAGGUUCGGUCCCGAUAUUCGAGAUUUUAUUACAAUCGUAGAUACCGAGAUUUGAACUUUUAUGUAUGUUCUGAAUUUGAUUUGUAGGUUUGGAUUUGGAUUGCGGGCCGUUUUUGGCGAUAUAUACGGAUUUGGCUAUAAGGAGGGGUUUGUUAACUGUGACUGAUGUUGACAUGGCUUUAGCGAAUACCGUUACUGUCCAAAUGAGGCUCGGCAUGUUCGAUGGUGAACCAUCAGCUCAACCCUAUGGGCAUCUCGGUCCGAGACAUGUGUGUACCCCGGAUCAUAAACAACUAGCCUUGGAAGCUGCUAGGCAAGGCAUAGUUUUGUUGAAGAACUCUGGGUCUUUACCGUUGUCUACUUCACGUCAUCGUACCGUCGCGGUUAUUGGGCCGAAUUCAGAUGUCACAGAAACAAUGAUAGGAAACUAUGCAGGGGUGGCAUGUGAUUACACGAGUCCCUUGAAAGGCAUUUCAAGAUACGUGAGGACUGUUCAUCAAGCAGGCUGUUCAAACGUUGCUUGCAAAGCAAACAAUCUGUUUGGAUUCGCCGAGGUCGCUGCCCGCCAUGCUGAUGCAACAGUUCUCAUAAUGGGGCUCGACCAAUCGAUAGAAGCAGAAUUCAAGGACAGGGCCGGGUUGCUCUUGCCUGGAUACCAACAAGAGCUGGUUACCAGGGUGGCUCAAGCAUCGAAAGGCCCUACUAUUUUGGUAUUAAUGUCGGGUGGCCCGAUUGAUUUCUCGUUCGCCAAGUAUGAUCGUCGAGUUAGUGCCAUUUUAUGGGCCGGUUAUCCAGGCCAAGCUGGAGGAACAGCAAUUGCAGAUGUUCUAUUCGGAACAACAAAUCCAGGUAAAUUCAAUUCACUUGCUCAAUGUCGAAAAUAUCAAACUCUUUGAAGCUAACUCAAUGUAUUCCGUAGGUGGGAAGUUGCCAAUGACAUGGUAUCCACAAUCUUACGUAGCUAAAGUACCAAUGACAAACAUGGGAAUGAGGCCAUCCCGAGGCUAUCCCGGAAGAACCUACCGGUUCUACAAAGGUCCAGUCGUGUUUCCAUUUGGUCACGGCUUGAGCUACACAAACUUUAAACAAUCAUUAGCCUUAGCUCCAACUGAUCUCUCAGUGCUCAUUAACACCAAUUUAUUUGCCACUAAAAACUACUCAACAUUAUCAAGCAAAGCCAUUAGGGUGAAACAUACUAAUUGUGAUUCACUUUCAUUACCCCUCCACAUUGAUGUUGAAAACAUUGGCAACAUGGAUGGGACUCACACUUUGCUCCUUUUCUCUGAACCGCCCGCUGCUGUAAAAUGGUCACCGAACAAACAAUUAAUAAGUUUCCAUAGAGUCCAUGUCAUUGCUGGGUCGAAACAACGAGUGAAAAUCAAUGUUCAUGCUUGCAAACACCUUAGUGUCGUUGAUGAAUUCGGGAUCCGAAGGAUUCCGAUGGGUCAACAUAGUUUAUACAUUGGGGAUCUAAAGCAUUCUAUUUCUCUCCAAGCAAAUUUGGAGGGCAUCAAGAAUUAGAGUAUAAUUAUUAUUGUUAUUAUUAUUAGUUCCACUGCAUUUCCAAAGGGAAAAAAAAGUGGUCAUAAUUGUACAAGUUUUUAGGCAUUUGAGUCUUCAAUCUAUUUUGUUUUUGUUUUUUAAAUAAAAGAACAAAUAUUGAUUGAAACAGAAUUGGCCAAAUGAAUAAUAGUGUAAUAAUUCAAGAAAUAUUAGUAUUUUUUUUAUAAUUUCAUCCUUGAAUUUUUUUUUCAUUGAAACACUAGUUUUAAAAUUUGGUAAUUUUGUCCAAUUUAGUUUCUAAAUUUAGAUUUUUAUUAAAGUUUGAACAUGUGACAAUUUGAGAUUGUGUCACGCCAUCACCUAAAAAUUAUAAAAAAAUUAUUACAAAUUGUUAAAAAUAUAGAUAAUUUUUUAAAAAGUAUUUAAAAUUGUUAACAAAGGUAAUGACAUGGUAAAAUGUCACACUAGUAUACCUUACCGUAAUCUAAAUUUAGGGAGCAAAUUCAGAAAGCUACCAAAUUUCAAGAUUAAUGUGAACAAAAAAAUUUUAGGGGCUAAGGUGAAAAAAUUAUCAAGUUCAAAAAAUAAAAGUUAUUUUAUCUUUUGUUUAAUCAAAAUUGUAAAUCAAGUCUCCUAAAUAAAAUUUUGAAUUCCAAUUUUUUAAAUGGAAAAAAAAACUUAUCUCAUUAAAAAAAAUUAUCCAAUUUAAUAAAAAAUUGAAUAAGAUUAUUGGAGACUUGGCAUUCCAAUCUUCAUAGGAUACCCUUUAGCCUAAUGGUUUGGACCCCAUUACAUGCCAUCCAGCUAAUUUAAUUGCCUUUAGGAUUCUCACUCUCAUUCCCACAAAAUAACAAACAAAAAGAGAUUAUCAACGUUUUGGUUGAUUGUCCCCACCCUGUUUCCCUCCGCACUCGAUCAUUUUUUGACAGAACACGAAUAUUAAAUAAAAAAAUUACGAAAUCUCGUUAUAAUGAAAUUUUUAAAUAAACAUUACCCAAAUAAAUUAAUAGAAACAAUUAAUUAAGUAUUAAUUUAAGGGUUGGAAUGAUGUUUAAUGCGUAAUAUUGACUAGAGUUUGUAAACAUUUCAUAAUAAAAUUUUCUUUCAAAAAAACAUUUUACUUCAAUAUUUGUGAAAAAGAGAUGUGGCAUUUUAUGAGCCUUCAAUUUUGGUUUAUACUUAAGUGGAUAUGACUCAUUUCACUAUCCACGAAGUCUUUUUUUUUUUUAAUCUUUGAUAAUAAUAAUUUUAAUAAAUUAUACCUAACAUCAUUAAACUAUUAAUAAAUUUAUAUUUUGACCACUUAAUUUUAAAUAAUUACAAAAUAACUAUCUCAAGAAAUAACUUAAAAAAAUUCAAAUAAUUUAAUAAUAAAUUUAAAACUUCUUUAAUUAAUAACCGAAAUGUAAACUUCGUCAAAAUUUUAAGAUGUGAGGUAUAAUUUACCUAAAUAAAAUACUACAACCCACUUUUUCUCACAUGGAAGUAUGGUAGACCUUUGAAGGAAUGUACCAUCGUGGAAAGCAAAUAAAAGUUGAAUUAAACUAUUCAUUAAUUUAUUUCUUUUAAAAAAUAAAUAUUUAAUUGAUUAUAAUAAUUUAUUAUAUAUAUUAUAAUGAUGUAGAUUCAUGAUUAAUGCAUCAAAUAUUAACACAUGUUAAAAAUAAUUCAAUACUAACUCUUUUUUAAUGUUCGAAAUUUGGAAUGCAAAUCUUCUUUCUUUUAUAAAUACAAUUCUCCUUAGUAUAAUCAAAAGUAAUUUCAUUUUAACAAUAUCAUGAAAAGGUCCAAAUUAAUAAUAUGAUCUCUUAUUUGAAAAAAGAAAAUAAGAAUAAAAAAGCAUGCAUGUAUGAUUAUUUAAGUGAUAAUAAUUAAAUAAAUCUCAAAUUGAAAUUUAAAGGGAUUGAAGCAAGUAAAAUUGGAUGCUUUUUCAAUGAAAUCCUUUUAUGAAAGUCAGCUCAAGGAGUGUAAAUAUAAUUAUUAAUCAACUAUUUAACCUAAACUAUAAACUAUAAAAGAGAAAAAAGAAAAAAAAGAAAAGCUAGCAUUGUGAAAAUGAACUAAACUUUCUUAUUAGUUUGUAAUUAAACAUUCAUAUGGAACAAAAAUAGAUACAAAAAUGAAAGGAUAAAAUCUACAUCAUAAGAAGAAAAUAAAUAUUAGAAAAAAGGAAGAGAAAAAUAUUAUUACUUCAUACAUCUUCAGAAAUUUCUCAGUUCCUUUUUUUUUCAUCCCUGCAAUGGCUUCUUCAGAUCUGCAAAUCUUCUACAUUUAUUUUCACCAUCUUUUCUCCUUUAAUUACUUUUUUUUUAAUAUUAAAAGAAAGAAAGGAAAAAACCCAACAUGGAAAUAAAAAGCCAAUGUGUUGUUGAUGAUAAGCUUCUCGCCUCCGACGGUGGUGGCGGCGUAUGGUAGUAAAAAGGGAAGUAAGGGACGAUAGGGUUGGGUGGUGGUGGCGUUGGGUAGUUUUUGUAUGUAGGUGGAGGGUAGUACAUGCCACCAAUGACACCAACGGGUGGUGGUGGAGCGUAGUAGUUAUUUCCGCCGCUGGAUUGAGAAGGUGGUGGUGGAGAGUAGUAGUAGUUUCCACCACCGCUGGAGGUGGGUGGAGAAGGAGGGGGUGGGCAGUGGUUGGGGUUAGGAACUGUAGGUGGUGGUGAAGAUGGUUUAGGCGGCGGUGGAGAUGGUGGUGGCGGCGAUGGAGUUUGCUGACAUGGAUUUUCACAUGAUGAACACAUGGUGCACUCGAUCUGGUACUUCGAUGUCGUGUUUGAAGUGGUGAUGGUGUUGUCUGAAGAAACGACCGAACUCAGCAGCAUCAGAGAUGUUGUAAUUACAAUAAUUGUCUGAAAAAUUUCCAUCUAAUAACAAAUAACCACUUUUUUUUUAAUUUUUCACUGGUUUUUUUUUUCUUGAAUGUACCACCCCAAAGAACUGAAAAGAAAUAUAGAUUAAAGGGGAGAAGAAAAAGCUAAAUAAGAACAAUGCUUAUAUGCAAAAUAAAAAUAAAAGGGGGAAAAAAAAGGAGUUGAAUAAGAGAAAGAAGGAAGCGAGUGUGUUAAAAAAGAAGUGGGGUGGGGUAUAGGCCCCCCCCCCCCCCCUUAUGAAAGACGGAUCAAAUAAAUUUAGGUUUCGCAUAAUA
rnacentral:lncRNA from 1 species